AAUGCAAAUCUUCCCUUUGAAUCUUAACACCCCUUGACCUAUAGUAUAAUUAGGGAAAGCAUCAGAGUCUAUCAAUUUGGUUGCAUGUAUGUUAGACAUAUGUGUAUAUAUCUCCCUCAUAGUUGUGCACUACUUCAAUCGUUCACCUUGGUUGUACAGUAGUAAUAACUUGGCAGUCCCCUUCCACAUGAUCUCUUCUAGAAAGAUCAUCAUCUAACUUAUUCUCAUAUCCCCUUCUUAUAUUGGAUGUCAUAGUCCAAUCCAAUAAGUUUAGAAAUCCUCCUUUGUUGCAGAGCAGAUAUGAACUUCUGCUCCAUAAUAUAUUUGAUACUCUGUUGAUGAGUUUUAAUGGUAAAGUGAUGCCCUUGUAAGUAGUAUUUCCACUCAGUGACUGUCAUCAAAACAGCCAUCAACUCCCUCUCAUAAAUGGAGAGAGCUUGAUUAUUUGGGCUCAGUGCCUUGCUCAUAAAGGCAAUUGAUUGAGAACCUUGCAUUAAUAUUGCACCCAAACCAGUAGAAUUAACAUCAGUCUCUACUACAAAUGGUUUUGAGAAAUCAGGUAAUGCCGAAGCUGGAGAAGUCACCAUAGCCUCCUUAAGCUGAAUGAAGGCCUUUUCUGCCUGUUCAGUCCAAAUAAAUCCUUCCUUCUUAAGCAUGUCAGUGAGUGGUUUGCAGUUCACCCAAUAACCUUGCACAAGAUUCCUAUAAUAACCAGUUAAUCCUAAGAAUCCCCUUAAUCCCUUCAGAGUAUUAGGUUUUAUCCAAUCAAACAUUCCUUGAAUCUUCUCAGGAUCAGUAGAGGCACCCUCUUUACUAAUAAUAUGGCCCAAGUACUCCACAGUAGUUUAGGCAAACUGACACUUAGAUUUCUUGGCAACGAGCUUGUGUUGCCUCAGUAUGGCCAGAGUGAUAUUCAAGUGCAGUAGAUGUUCUUCCCAACUCUUGUUGAUAUGAGGAUGUCAUCAAAAAUGAGAAGAAUAAACUACCCCAGGUGUUUAGAAAAUACCUGGUUCAUCAAAGAUUGGAAAGUUGCAGUUGCAUUGCAAAGCCCAAAAGGCAUAACUAGGAAUUCAAAAUGUCCAUUAUGGGUUUUGAAUGCAUUUUUGUAUAUGUCUUCAUCCUUCAUCCUGUUCUGAAAGUAACCAGACCAGAGAUCCAUUUUGGUAAACCACUAAGCUCCAUGCAACUCAUCUAGGAGCUCAUCUAUGACUGGUAUAGGGUAGUCAUACUUCAAAGUUAAUCUGUUUAGAUACCUAUAAUCUACACACAUCCUCCAAGACGAAUCCUUCUUCCAUACCAAUAGUACAUGUGAAGCAAAUGGGCUUUGAUUGUCUUUGAUUAUACCAGAGUCGAAAAGUUCAUUCACAAUUUGCUCCAUUUCCCCUUAGUAAGCAUGUGAAUACCUAUAAGGAAACAGUUGUUUAGGAAUUGCAUCCUUUUUCAUAAGGGUUUCUUUGAGAAAAACCUCCAAUUACUUCAUUUAAUGGAGAGAGGCCCAAAAUAUUUUGCUCCAUUUGAGAAAAGCCCACACGCAUUUUCAGCCAUUAUUUUUUUCCAAUUUUUCCCCCGCCCGCCACAUCAUCAUUGCGUCGCGCUGUCAUCAGCCGUUUUUUUUCCUUUUUUUUUUUUAACUUUUUUUUUGUAUAAGUUUUAUUAGUCAACUAUGAAGCGUAGUAGAUUAAGGAAAAUCAACUAUGAAACAUAGUCGAUUAAGGAAAUUCUUUAAUUUUGUUUUUAUUUUUAAUUUUUUUUUCAAUCAGCUAUAUUAAUCUUCUAUGAAGCAUAGUCGAUUAAGAAUCUGACUACUAAAAAUAAUAAAUCACAACUACAAAAAUGAAAAAUCACCUAUAUUUUACAAAAGCAAAAAAUAUACAAACAUUAUAAUUGAUUUAUACAAUUGGAAUCAAUAAACAAAAAAUCCAAAAAAAAUUAAACAUUGAAGUCGAUUAACCUUAAUCGACUACAAGAGCAUAGUCGAUUAACCUUAAUCGACUAUUGAACAUGUACGUAAUCGAUUAAGACUCCAGCCUGCGUGAACUUCUCUAUCCGCGACGUCCUCCACCCGACCCACAAAAUAAAAUAUUAGAUCUGCCUCCCCAGCCCGUCGCAACACCACACCAUCCCAUCAUCCUUGCAACUUCAUCCCAUUCCAUCCCAUAUCUUGCCACUUCAUCCCACCCACAAUCCUUAAACCUAAACAAAUCAUUUUUCCCUCACCAACUAGAUUUAGAUUGAAACCAAAAACAUAAUAUAGAUCUAGAUUGAAACCAAAUAGAUCUGAGAAACAAAUUUAGAGCUACUCAAAAGAUAUGGUUUUUCAGCGUCGAUGAUUUGAGACAUGGUCUUCACUCUCCGCCGCCACAGCCAUCGUCUCUGCCGCUGCCAUGGUCUUCACGUCUCCGUUGCCGAUGACUUGAGACAUGGUCCUCACCCGUUGUUGGUGUUUCUGUGAGUGAAGAGAAUGGAAGAGAGAAUGGAAGAGAGAAUAGAAGAGAGAAUGGAAAACGAUGAAAAUUAGGGUUGGGGUAUGUAUGGUCUUUAUAAGGAUAGUUUGGGGAUUAUUAAAAAUUAAUUUUGUUUGAAAUAUACCUAAGGGGGUUUUCUCUAAUUAUUUUUGGAAGGAGGUGUUUCCUCAACUAUAUUUCCUAGAUGAAGGGGUUCUUGCUAAUUUCCCCUUUUCAAAAUGAUGUGAUGCUCAAUACCUCCCGCAGGUUGUAAGCAAGUUGGUUCUUAGAAUAGAUCACUAUGGAUCUCUUCAAUCUUGUCAUGUGGUUUGGGCAUAACAUUACCUCCAGACAAAGAGAAAACAUGAUAAAUAUCUCAUUGUUUCCCCGUUUGAAUCAUUUUAUACAAAGAUUCUGAUACAAACCUCGUCAAUCAUGUGAGGAGACCCGAUAUCAAUACUUCGGAUAUCAAAAUCCUGGACCGUCCUAAAGAAGGAAUCAAAGGGUGUAUGUGAAGACGCCACAAUCAAUUGCGAAAGUUUGAUUGAUAAGUCGGGGUGAACAAACGGAAUCCACCGAUAUGUUCGAACAGUUCUUAAAGAACCUAAGAGAAUAAACUCAAUUUAAUCAUAAAAAUUCGUCCCCCCUAAUAUGCCAAAUUGGCAGCCUAUAUAUAAGUGCUAAAAAGACUCAUUUUCCACAAGGAAAAGGAUUCCUACCUAAACUAUAAUAAAAAAAAUUAAUAAAUAAACAAAUCCUAACCAUAAGGAACUCUAAAAUAAUAAAAACCUAAUAAAUACUAAAUUAAAAACGUGCAUAAAUAAAUUAGAUAACUUGAUCUUCAAGUCGGCUUCUCGAUCACCCUUCUAAUCUCGCGUAGACAAUUGGUUGUGCACGUGCAUGAACUUCAUGCUCAAUUAUGGCACCGUUACAAUUCGAAUGUCUCUCCGCUCAAAACAUGAAAGUUGUAGAACUUCCAGUUGGCUUUUCAUUGAAAUUUGAAUGACCUAAAUUGGAUGCCAUAUGUGAGAGUUAUAAGCCGAAUGGUAAACUCUGCCAGAAUCAUACGAGACUUUCGGGAUGCUUGAAAUUCGACUUGUCCAACGAAUUUCCGUUUUCUUUUCUUCCAAUUCCAAACCAUGGAAUCUUCGAAGACCUGAUACAAGAAUUUAUUCUUCAAUUCCAGCCCGAAUAAACUCUUUAAACUUGUACGCUUUCGCUUCUUCCAAUUCUUCAACUUGGAGCUUGUGAGGAUCGCAUCAUACUCCCCCUCUUUAAAAUGAUUCGCCCUUGAUUCUGGAAAAAUAUAAAAAUGAGCAUAUAGAAACCAUCUUUCACGAUCAUCUUCAAACAAUUGUAGCUCAUAUAUUCUAGAAUACUCCAAAUUUGAUUACACUCAACUUUCCCACAGGAGUAUAGCUAGUCACAUUAGUACAACUAACUCCAUCAAUAAUUAAACUCGAAUAUGCACCUUCAUCGCACUGUGUAGGAACAAGACAAUCUCCGUGUAUUGCAUCACCAACUUCAUCAGCAUGCACAAUUGGAGUUUGUACUCCGGUUAGUUCAGCAGUAACUUCGAUGCAUGGCUGGAUCAUAUCAUUCUCCACCUCUUUAAAAGGAUUCGCCCUCGAAUUCGAACCUUUUUUUUCUUCAAUUGGUGGCGCGGGUUUGCAAUUUUCUUUCCCCUUGGACUCGACCUCAAUAUUCUCACAUACUUCUUCCUCAACUAGCACAUCAAUAACUCCCAAAUCUGUUUGAAUGAUCUCUUUCUCAAAAGCUUGACGAGUAUCUUCCUUUUCAAGUGGCGAUAAAGAAUCACCCUUUCUCUUCAGAUCCUCGUAGUCACCUUUGUCUCGUAGAAUUUCUUCUGCUUUGGUCUUAUGUAACGAUUCUCUCACUCUGCUCACAGGAGAACUCCAUAUUGAUUCCCAACUUGGCGAACUCCAUUCUUCUAUCGUAGUAGCUUGCCUCAACCUCUGAAAUUGUAAGUCCCUAUAAUAUUGUGAAGGAACGAACCUCUAUCUCAUAACAGCCUUCAUUGACUCCCAAUCAUCAAUUGGUGGUUCGCAACAACGGUGCCUAGUUAAGACAAAUUGGUCCCACCAACUAAUUGCAUACUCAAUGAACGCUUCAACGGCGAGCUUCACUUUCUUCUUUUCGGAAUAGUAAUCACAAUCGGAUACGUUCUCAACCUUUCUUUCCCAUUGAAUGUAUGCCUCGGGAUCACUCUUACCUUGAAAAGAUGGUAUAGUCAAUUUCAUUGAGCUAAGGUUUCGAGUUGCGCCAUCUAUUUCUCGAUCAAACUAUCCUCGACUCGAUCUAUCCCAUCCAGACCCUCGUCUCAUACUCUCCCUCCUUGAUGUGCAAGGGAUCACACCAAAUCUUCUAUCAACAUAAACCUCUUUAUCACGGUGAGGUAUAACCGGUUGAUGAACAUCACGUCAUACGUAUGGCCCUCGAACAUGUUGAUCUUUGUGUGGUUCAUAUAUUUGGGCUUCAAGUCCUUCCAGUCGAUCGUGGAUUCCCUCAAGUGCUUUAAAUAAGGGUUCGAAGCGUUUCUCCAUUGCCGACAUCCGACGCUACUCAACUCUUUCUCCUUUAUGACCGGCCUUCUCGGACAUGAUCAAAACAAUAUUUUUUUUUUGACACUAAUAAACCCUAACUUGGGCAGGAAGGAAAUCUUAACAAAAAUAAAAUUCGAAAUUUUUUUUUAAUUAAUUUUUUUUAUUGGUUUAUGGACUUUAAAUAAAAAAAUCAGAAGACUAGAAGACUCAACAACAAUAGACACUAAACAAAAAGAAAAACGAAAAAACGAAAAAACGAAAAAAAGACUGACUCGACAAAAGAUAAAGGAUAGGCGAAACCUUCUUAAGAAGAUGGCUCUCAGUACCAAAUGAUACCAACCUCGCCAACCAUGUGACGAGACCCGAUAUCAAUAUUUUGGAUAUCAAAAUCUCGGACCGUCCUAAAGAAGGAAUCAAAGGGUGUAUGCGAAGACGCCACAAUCGAUUGCGAAAGUUUGAUUGAUAAGUCGGGGUGAACAAACGAAAUCCACCGAUAUGUUCGAACAGUUCUUAAAGAACCUAAGAGAAUAAACUCAAUUUAAUCAUAAAAAUUCGUCCCCCCUAAUAUGCCAAAUUGGCAGCCUAUAUAUAAGUGCUAAAAAUACUCAUUUUCCACAAGGAAAAGGAUUCCUACCUAAACUAUAAUAAAAAAGCUAAUAAAUAAACAAAUCCUAACCAUAAGGAACUCUAAAAUAAUAGAAACCUAAUAAAUACUAAAUUAAAAACGUGCAUAAAUAAAUUAGAUAGCUUGAUCUUCAAGUCGGCUUCUCGAUCACCCUUCUAAUCUCGCGUAGACAAUUGGUUGUGCACGUGCAUGAACUCCAUGCUCAAUUAUGACACCGUUACACUUUGAAUGUCUCUCCGCUCAAAACAUGAAAGUUGUAAAAUUCUAGUUGGCUUUCCUUAUAAAUUUGAAUCACCUAAAUUGGAUGUCAUAUGAGAGAGUUAUAAGCCGAAUGGUAAACUCUGCCAGAAUCAUACGGGACUUCCGGGAUGCUUGAAAUUCGACUUGUCCAACGAAUUUCCGUUUUCUUUUCUUUUAAUUCUAAACCAAGGACUCUUCAAAGAACUGAUCCAAGAAUUUAUUCUUCAAUUCCAGCCCGAAUAAACUCUUUAAACUUGUACGCUUUCGCUUCUUCCAAUUCUUCAACUUGGAGCUUGUGAGGAUCGCAUCAUAGAUUCUGCAGUAAUGAGUUGCCAAUCCACCUUCUGCCUAACAUCAGUGAUCAUGACUCUCCCUUGUAAAGUUUGAACCUCAAUGCACCUAGAUUUGUAGUAAACAUCCAGAGGACUGCAACUAUUUAGCCAAUCACAUCCCAAUAUGAUAUGAUACCCCUCUAAUUGCAGCAAUCUGUGAGGAAAAGUGAAUGUUUUAUCUUGCGUUUGCCAGCUGAAAUCAAGAACCCCUUAUUCAGUAAUAAGUUUUUUUCCAUUUGCUAUAGUUAACUUCAUUAUAAUGGCCUUCUGGAUGCAACAUAAGUCCCUAGCUAACUCAAUAGCAAUAAAACUAUGUAUGAUGCCAUUAUCUAUUAACAUGUUCAACUUAGUACCUCCAUAACUACCAGAGACUCUGAUAGUGUUCAUUCCAGAGCUUCCCAUUAGAGCAUUGACAGAAACUUGGACCUCAUAUGCAAAUUUCCCUGUUUCAUCAACCUUUGGUGUGGAAAUGGAUUGGUAGUGGCUAAGCUCUUCAUCUUCAGUCAUCAACAGAUAAAUAUGGCUAUGUUUGUAUUUGUGGUUGGGUGCGUAAGCCUCAUCACAGUUGUAAUAGAGGCCUUCUACCUUCUGGCUCUCAUCUCAGGUAUGGUAAGUGUUUUUCUCUGUGGUAAUAAGGCUGGGGGUGUGUAUGGUGUGGUUUUUUGUAGAAAGGGUAUGGGAGGAGGGGCAGGGUUUUGCCAAGGCUUUUUGGUAGGUAUGGUAUUUGGUAUAGGUGGUUUAUAUGAGGGGUUGGCUCUUUUGGUAAGGCUUAAAUAGUGUGGACUUUUUUUCUGGCCAUAUCAAUGAGCUGGGGUAGGUUGUGGAUUGGAAAUAGGGAAAAUAAACUCUGAAUUUCUCCUGGUAAGCCAUUUAUGAAUCCAUGGAUGAAGCAACUCUCAUCAUAGGUUCUAGUGUUAAGUGCCAACGAGUAACACCUGAGUUCUUCAAACUUUUCAAUGUAUUCCUCCAAUGUUCUUGUCACCUUUAAUGAAUGGAACUCAUCCAAAACAUUACCCUCAUGUAGCUUCAAACCUUGAGGUCACCAAACUCACAAAUUGUCUUCAAUUCAGAUCUAUGUUCCCUAGAGUAACAUGGUUGUACCAGAAGCUGCCUUACCUUCAACAUGUAAGGAAGCCAUGACAACCCUCUGUUUCUCAGGUAUGUCUGGGAUUAAUUCAAAAUAGAUGUCACACCUUAGUAACCAGCUUCUAGGGUUUGUACCAUCAAACCUAGGAAAAUAAAUUUUGGGACUCGGAUUGAAACCUACUGAAAAUUGUUCCUAGUUAAUUCCCAUUUCAAAAGGUCUCUGCACCAUAACCUCGGGGUUUGUGUCUAACUACAGUUUCAUGAGUGGCAUUUAGAGGAAAGUUUGUGUUGUUUGAGGAGGAAGUAGCACUCCCCAUAUAGAUUUGUCCUUGUUGUAGAAUUCCAUCUUCACUACAACUUUGGCAAACUGCAACUGAAGCCUUUCUUGGAUGCCUGGAUCUGCUGCAUGGCUCCAUGGGAUUUUUGCAUCUGUGUUUGGCCAUCAGCUAGAGAUUGAGGAAGCAUGUUGAGUUCGUCUUGAAAGGAGAUCUCCAUCGCCUCUCUUCUUUCAGCUUUUUCCUGCAAUUUUUGUUCCAUAUGUUUUGCUCUGGUUUCAGUCAUAUUAGUCCCAGUUUGAUAAAUGUAACCUUGCUUUGGAUACCAAAUAUCAGAUCUUACUUUGUUUCUAUAUAUUAUUGUAUGAAUAAUGAAGAACAUAUAAGAAUAGAGUAAGAAUUGGAGAGAAAGAUAGAGUUGAGAGAGAAUUAGAAUAAAUUUCUGCUUAUUUCAUUCAUCUGCAAAACUCAUUACAUAUAGCGAAAGCUGCCAAAAGUGCAGUGCUAGAGGUAGUACAAUUAGCCUAACAAACCAAAUAGAAAAAUCACAAGUGUAAUAUUCCUCCAAAUAAAAUCUUCAUGUGAAUCAUCAAUCUUCACGCGCUCGUCACAACAUCUCCCUCUCGCCGUCCUUCACUGGGUUUGUUGCCACGUGCCAUAGUAAUUGAAACGUUGUCGUUUCUAACUAUUUCAAAAUCGAAUUCUCAAUUCUUUCAAAUCCACAAAUCAUCAGCAAUUCAUCCCUUCGCGCCCUAUGUGUUCGAAUUCCCUUCCUUCCCUAGGCCAUGACACAUGACUUUGGAUUUUUCUUUUUCUUGGAAUAAUUUUGUAAGAAAUUUUGAGUUGAGAGGGAGUUCGUUGUUGUUAGCAGUUGAGAAGAUGAUACGUGGGUGCAGAUCUGUAUUGUGGCGUGGCUGCUUGGUUGCCGAAUAGGGGUUUCGGUCCAUGAACGGAGCCGGCCAAGAUAGUGUUGGGGUGAGGUGCGCAGAGAAAUUAAAAUCAAAGUAUGUGUCUAUGUGUUCUUUUUCAAUUGGAGAAGAGGGCUUAAUUGAAAAUAUUAAGGACUGAAUUGAAAAUUUUAAAACUUAAUUUGGGUAUAAAAUUUUGGAGGUUGGACAUAUUUAUCUGGGACUUUUUCGUCUUUCCUUGAGAGGUCAAUGAAUAAAAAUAAAAAGGGUCGAGUGUACUUGUUUGAACAAUUUCCAGGGUGGGCUUUUGUCACUUUUUUUUAAUCCUGGGGGGUUGUGGCUUUAGGAUUAACAAAGGGUGGUUUUUGCAUUUAACUUCAAAUCGCAUUGUAUUAAGCAAAAUUAGAACAAAUUAUGUGAAGAUAAGCUUUAACAUUUGAUCCAAAGGUGUAGCAUAUGAAAUUCAAUUAAAUUUACAGAGAAAAUGACGUGACAAGAAAAAUGCGGUUUGAAAACUACAUUACACCAAAUUCAACCAAUCCUGUUGCAAUGCACUCGAAUCAAUCACAUGAAUCUUGUGCACAAAAAAUGAUUUAGAAAUGAACAACAUCGCAGAAGAAUCAACCAACUUAGAUGUAAAUAACUUGCACAUUUCAUUCACAGAGUCCAAUAAGUGAUCCACACUACUAAAACAACAUUCCAACAUGAAGAUAAAAUUUAUACCUUAAUAAAAAAUACUUUCGAUAUCUUAUAUUGUGUUAUAUAUUAAUUAUGAAUACUUUAUCUUGUAUUAAGUUUCAAAGACGAAAAUUUUCCGUGAUUGCUUCAUUUGUCAUGAGGAUCAGCAAAAGUUAAUGCCAAAUUCUCUCAUAUAUCAGACCUGAUUGCAGUCAUGGUCAAUUUUACGUAGCACUGUCAAACUGUAAGAGUAGAGGUGGCAUUGAGAUGUUGAUUGGUGGGAAUCGGAUGAACUAUAUAACGUUACUACAAUUUUUGUCUACAAAUUAAAAAUUAUUCCAACCUAUAUGAAGAUACAUACUACACAAUAACUAAUGACAUACUAUUAUUGGAAUGUACAUGUAUUUUAUUAUUUAGAAUCUUUUUCCAUUCUUUGCAUAAUGUACAUGUUAUCGACAAAUUAGAGGACUCAAUGGACCAAUACCUAUAGUUCUUGCAGACACUUCAUUUGUAUGUAAGGACAUCUCCUGCAGUCUUGUUCUUCUUUUUCCUUUCAGGGCAUUUUUUUUCUGAAGUGUCCUUUGUGGCAGGUAUAACACUUCCAUGGACCAUUCUCAGAUUGAUUUUUCUUUUGCUUUUCAAACUUUGGCUUGACUUUCCCUCUAUUUAUCUUCUCAGAAUUCGUGUCUUGUCUUCCUCUGGCAAACAAGGCCUUCAGUACUAGAGUUGCAUAUUGUUUCUAAUUUCUUAUGAAGCCCUUUUGCUUUUACAACAGAAACCACCUUCUCCAAGAUAUUGUCUGCUCCUUCCAUAAAUCAUGACAUCUUUAAAAAUUUCAUAACUCUUUCGAAUAGAGUUCAAAAUCGUUGGAGCCUUGUCUUCAUCUUCUAUGGUCACUUUUAUGUUUUCAAGAUCACCAACAAUUUUGUCGAACUCAUCAAUCUGUUGACUAACAAAUUUCUCAUCCACCAUCUUGAAAGAAUGAAGUCUUUGCUUCAGAUAACCUACUUGCCAAGAACUUUCUCAUAUACAACUGUUCAAGUUUCAGCCAUAUGGCUUGAGUUGAAGUUUGCCUCGAAACUUCUCUUAGUGCUUUAUCUCCAAAACUAAGAAUUAUUGAAUUGUGAGCCCUAUCCAUGAUUCCUUUUUCUUCAACCAUAAAAUGCAGACCAAAUUAAUACCAAACAUGAACUGGCCUUGUUACUAACAACAAAUAAUAAUUUCAAUCCCAAUCAAGAACCGCAAAGUGCAAACUGCAAUUCCAGAAGUAUAUCAAAUUCCAAAACAACUAGCAAUAAAUUAUAUACAAUACAGACCAUAAUAAUUUGCAGGCCAAAUUAAUAGAAACAAGAUGCUUCAACAAAAUACAGAGAGACCUAUAACAUCUAUACUCUUAAAAUGUCUGAAUAUUUACUUGAUAUCGAUGCUUCAACAUCAUCAAUUUUUCCACUUAGACAAAAAGGACCCAUAAAAAUGUUGGGGAUCGUGCAUGUAUACGCAGCGGAAUUUAAAAAUUUUAUAUCGAACUAGUUUCGAUUACAUGCAAUACUAAUCACAUAGUCAACGUACCUUAACGCUUCCGCCAUACAUAUGGUAAUUUUCGAUUUAAUUGAAAAAUACAUAAAACCGAAAAAUUACGAAACAUGCUUAUUCAUCAUUCAAUAAGAUCGAAACAUGUAAUCACGUAUUACUCAUGCUUGCAAAUUAAUAAUCAUACAAACAUGUUUGAAUCGAAUUACGAAAGUUCCGAUUUGAUUACCUCUUGUAGCGUGAGAUUUCGACGAAUCGAAAUCCUAGAACGAGUCACGUACAAGCUGCUAAUUACCAAUCCACGGGGCUGCACCUCACGGCUGGACCGAGCUGAUCCAGCAAGCAACGAGCGGCGACGAACGGCAGCAGCAGCGGCGGCGCGUGGCAGCGGCAGCGGCGGCGCGUGAGCGGCGGUGCGGCGCGUGCGGUGGUGCACGGAUUCGUCGGGGCAGCAGCUCCUCUCCAAUUAGGUUUCACCUCGUAUUUUCGACCCACUCGAACUAUAGCACUAGAUAUAAACGAGUUAGAUAACAACACGAAUAAAACGAAGGAGAAAGAGGAGAAAACCGGCAGUGUUUCCGGCGGUGGUCGGCGGUGGCGCGGCAGAGAUGCAACGGCCGAGAGGUGUUGAGCGGCUAGGGUUUUUGUGCUGAAAAAUCUGAUCUCAAAACUCCUUUUGAGGUCUAUUUAUACCUAGGGUUUUCAACCCUAGCGGGCUUAAGUCAUUGGGCUUGACCCACUGAUGCAUUAAGCCCAUCCCCUUGUCGGCCUCAUUUCCAACAAACGAUCGUCCACAAAAUUAUAACAAAAUUAUAUUUGUGACGAGCUCAAAGUCCUCGUCGAUACGAGUGCCUCUUCGAAAUUUCCAAUUUCCAAAAUUGGAAACUUCCACUUCAGUGGACUUGCUAAAUCGGGAAGCUUCCCAAUUUAGAAAGUUCACUAAAUUCCGCAUGUCUCUCUUUCUCUACGUUUAUUCCAAUUCGCAAUUCACAAUUGCGAAUCUUGGAUUCAAUCAUAUUGACAUCCAAUCGUUCAAAGAUUAACACAUUAAUCUAUGCUUGUUGUUAUCAAGGAUCUAUAUUACACGAGAAGUGUGACCCUCAAUGGUUCAGGUGUAUGCUAGCCGUGGGCUCACAACUCUUUGUGAUUCGAACAACACAUUGUUCUUAUACGAACUCCUCCCAAGAGUCCCGAUUAGAGUAAAACUCAUUUUACCUAAUCCCGAUCAAAUCGGUGCCCAACGAAUCAAGAUUGGCGUCUAGCAACUACGCGUCAUGAUUCCCUAGAUACAAAUGAAGUGCCUGCAAGAACCUUAUGAUAUAGUUAGCGUACAGUACGAUCCCUUCGUAGCACAUGUCCCGAUUGAACUAGAGGCAUUGGUUCACCGAGACCUCUUAUAAAGUUCAAUAACCGUGCGCACGUUCUAGGUAUUAUAAAUCCGUUCGUGUGCGACUUAGGGAAACACAUUUCCCUAAUCACCCCACUAUCAACUCUGGCCAGAGAUUCCAUGGAUUAUAAACCGUCAGAACACACAGGACAUCCAUGACUACUCAAGCGCUCGAAUCCCCUACUACAAUGCACAGACUUCACACUAGAUUUCGGAUUGCACGAACGUUGGCCCUUGGAGCGGUCCGCGGUGGGACUCAGGGACAGGUCACGAUACAAUCGGUCCUCUAGUGAAGUCACGGUGAUGUCUGGGUCUUAAGGACUAAUGGUGUACAACUAUAUCUUAGAAACCUAUUACUCGAUGAAUGAGAACCACUUAUAGAUUUCUAGGGCGAGGGAGUUCAGUGAACUCAUCCAGUAUGAGCACCCACUCAAGUAUGCCGAUGUCACAACACCGAGGACUGAUGAGACGCAGUACACAUACACUAAGUGCUAGUCUCAAAAGGGAAAGGCCGGUAUCCUCAUUAUUGGCGUAACCCAUCGACUAGGAACAAGGUUUAACAGUUACAUUACAUUGCUGAGUUAUCUCAUGAUUCUACUAGAUCAACUCACAGUAAUAGAGUAACUCGUUAGGACUAUAUCUAUGCUGCUUGCAUGGGAUAACAGAUAUAGAAUGCCAAAUAAGAUAUUUUAUUAUUACGAACGAAAAACGAUUGUUUUAUUACAAAGAAAAGAGAAAGACCACAGCCACAAGUUGGCUUGCCGGUCACCUACUCUAACAAUCUCCCACUUGACCUAAAGCCAACUACUCAUAAAUCUAAGUCCCAUCGACUCUCGAUGUUUCUCGUGGACUGAUCCUGACAAUGGCUUGGUGAAGGGAUCUGCAAUAUUGUCCUCCGAGGUGACUCUGUCUAGCUUGACUUCACCUCUCUCUAUGAUCUCUGGGAUCACAUGGUAUUUUNNNNNNNNNNNNNNNNNNNNNNNNNNNNNNNNNNNNNNNNNNNNNNNNNNNNNNNNNNNNNNNNNNNNNNNNNNNNNNNNNNNNNNNNNNNNNNNNNNNNGUUGAAAGUUCUAGGAUCACAUCCUUGGUCACCUUCAUCACGAGGAAUACCUAUCGGGCGCUCUCCGAACUCUUUCGGAUCUACGCAGCGACGGUCCAGGAGGUAUGUUAGUGGUUUGUUGAAUUUGUUCAUUAUCUGAUUGUUGUGCUUGAACUUCAGAUUGUGGUUCUCGAACUUCUUCGAGAUCAACUACACUGCCCUUUCUAUCCGAUAGAAAUUCCUUCUCAAGGAACACGGCAUUUCUCGAGACGAACACCUUUGCCUCGGAAACAUAGUAGAAUUCGUAUCCCAUGGAAUCCUCGGGAUACCCCACAAAAUAGCAUAGGUCGGAUUUUGUAUCCAACUUAUCUCCCACUAGCCGCUUCACGUAAGCGGGACAACCCCAUAUCCUAAUAUGUUUAAACGUGGGUUUCUUGGAGUGCCAAAGUUCAUAAGGUGUGGAGUUAACUGCUUUGGUAUUAACCCUAUUCAGCAAAUACACGGCAGUUAGGAGUGCAUGACCCCACAGGUAUGCCGGUAGCUCGGUGAACCCCAUCAUAGAUCGAACCAUGUCUAACAGUGUUCGAUUCCGACGUUCGGAAACUCCAUUAAGUUGAGGAGUUCCAGGAGGAGUCCAUUGAGAAAGAAUCCCAUUCUCUUUAAGAUAGUCUAUAAACUCAGUACUUAAGUAUUCGCCACCACGAUCGGAUCGUAGUUUCUUAAUACGUCUACCGAGUUGGUUUUCUACUUGGUGUCUAAAAUCUUUGAACCUUUCAAAAGUUUCAGACUUAUACUUCAUUAAGUACACGAAACCAUACCUAGAAUAAUCGUCGGUAAAGGUAACGAAGUAGUUAAAACCACCCCUAGCACUAACGCUUAGUGGACCACACACGUCUGAAUGGAUCAAAUCCAAAAGACCCUCGGCCCGUUCCAUCUUCCCUUUGAAGGGAGUCUUGGUCAUUUUUCCUUUAAGGCAGGAUACACAAGUUUGAAGUGAUUUAACGUCCUUCAAGGAGAACAUUCCUUCACUAACAAACUCGUUCAUCCUUCUCAAGGAAAUGUGACCUAGUCGAGCGUGCCAAAGUUGUGCGGGGUUAAGACUUAUAUCUUUUCGUUUUGCUGAUAUAAUGUUAAUAGGUAUUUCACUUGGAUUUAGUUCAUAUAAGUUGUUUAUAAGUUGUCCCUUACAAAUCAUAUUUUGUUCCUUUUGUAUAAUGCAAAUCGAAUUUCCAAAAACAAAAGUAAAACCUUCAUUAUCCAAAACAGGAAUAGAAAUAAGGUUUCGAAUAAGUGACGGAACAAAUAAACAAUUGUUCAAAACAAUGGAAAAACUAGAAUCCAAAACAGAAAGAUAAAUUGUCCCAAUGGCUUCAGCAGCAACUCUUGCUCCGUUGCCCAUUCUUAGGUAGGUCUCACCCACAUUAAGCUUCCUACUUCUUGUCAUGAGCUGCAAAUCAUUACAAAGAUGUGAGCCACAACCAGUAUCCAAUACCCAAGCAGAAGAUUUAACGGACAAGUUAACUUCAACUAAAUACGUACCCUUUUCAGAACGUUUCUGAUCGAGGUAAGCCUUGCAGUUGCGUCGCCAAUGGCCCUUCUUUCCACAAUGAUGGCAAGCGUCAUCAACUUGCUUGGUGACCUUGUCAUUCUUCACUCCGCUCGACUCGCCCUUCUCAAGUUUCUUGCUCGGGCCGAAACUCCUUUCUUUCCUUUUCUUCUGCAAAGAACCUUUCUUCGCAGAAGGAGCAACUAGGAGAACAGAUUUCUCCUUCUUGAUCGUGGACUCAUAGCUGACCAACAUGUUCAACAACUCAUCCAAUGGUGGAUCGAGCUUGUUCAUGUUGAAGUUCAAUAUGAACGAUUCAUAAGAACUAGGAAGGGACAGUAGGAUCAAAUCCACCGAGAGCUCGGCCGGGAGGGUGACAUCAAGGCUCACCAGCUUCUCAAGGAGAGUGAUCAUCUUGAGACCGUGCUCGUGGACCGAAGCCCCUUCACGCAGCCUCAUGGUGAUCAACUCCUUGGUAGCUGAGUACCUCGAUGCCCUAGUAUUCUCACUGUACAUGCUUUCAAGAUGAUGCUUGAUAUCAUAAGCAUGCACGUGAGACUCAUACUUCCUCGCGAGCUCUGGCACCAUGGAUGCUAGCAUGUAGCACCUCGCAUGGAGGUCGUCCUUCUUCCAUGCCUCGAAGUGGCAGUCUCGUCAGCAGUAGCAGUCGCAGGAAUAGCAGCGGGGGGACGUUCAUUGAGCACAUAGAGACGCUCCUCGACUUGGAGCACAAGUUUCAGAUUGCGAAGCCAAUCCAAAUAGUUUGGACCGGUGAGUUUGUUUUGGUCGAGGAUUGAGGAAAGGGGAUGUUUGGACAUUGUUGCUGAGAAAAUUUUAAGAAGACAAUAAUUAGAGUUUAGUUCGUAAUAAUCGUUACAAUUAAAAUUUUGGACUUGUAUGUUUUAAUUGUUCUCCCACUAAUUUUAUCGAAUUCCACCACCCUCUAGCAGACAAUCGAGAAAACUUGUUUUUCUUUAAUGGGCUUUAGGUCCAAUAGCGCAAAUGUAACCCGUAGUUAAUCUAUCCCGAUUACAUAAGCCUAAAGGUAGAGUACUAUCAAUCACAUCACUAUGUGACCCUAAAGAUCGAUUUACCUCACACUUGAUAAUGACCUAAGUUAAUCUAGCGAAUAUCAAAAUCUUCGUGUGUCAAGUCUAGCCUACCAAUAUGAGAUGUCAUAGAUCCAACUAUAUCAAACUAAUGCAAUCCCUAGUUAAUCUAGCCGACCACAUUAAUCCAACAUAAUUUUAUCUAUGACCGUAUCUCCAUCUAAUGUCAAUUAAAUUACAGCUUAUCCCACAAUAGCACUCCCCGCUAACACGGCUUACUGCACUAUCAUGAGAGGCUACACAUAACUUAAUUGUUGGUAGAAGGAAAGAAAAAUUCAACAAUUUGGUUCUUCUUUAUAGCUUGAUAAUUAUUCUUAAUAAAGAAUGAGGGAUUUUAUUUAUUAAAUCUUAUUAGCUCAUCGGAAGUUUUAGGUUAUGAUCGUUUGUGAUUCCUACAACUAUGUUCUCUAGGUAUGUGGAAACGCAUAUUGAUCCUAAGAGAGACAUACGAUCAUCAUCGUACUUAAUCACAAUUAUUCAUCUCAUGAAUUAAUUAAUAAAUACGAUUAAUUGCAAAUAUUAUUAACGGACUUCUUUCAUUCAUAAAUCAUUCAAAUAAGAAUGAAGUCCAUUAAUUUAUUUGCCAUCUAAUUUGUGUUCCAUUAAUUAAACUAAUUUAACGAUUAAAUUAAAUAAUUAAUCCAACACUAUCCUUUGAAUUCAAAUUAAAUUAAUGGAUCAAUUAUCUAAUUGGGUUUAAUUGAUAAAUAAUUUCAAAAAUUAAAAAUCAAUUAAUUUUAAUAUUAAUUCUCAGAAAAUCAAAUAAUUUUUUUUUUUUUUUUUUUUUUUUUUGCGCUGACCGGACCGGUCGGACCGGUCCGACCGGACCGGUUCGGUCAGCUGGAAAAACAGCAGAAAAACGAAUUUUAAAAAUUUUAUAUUUUCUGAAAUAUUCAAAAUAUUAAUUAAUAUUAAACCACCCAAUUUGAUAACACCAAAAAUUCAACAAUUCAACAAAUCGAAGCAUGCUUUCGAAAACGAUAAACACGUUGACAAAUAAACGAUUAACCCGUGGCUCUGAUACCACUGUUGGGGAUCGUGCAUGUAUACGCAGCGGAAUUUAAAAAUUUUAUAUCGAACUAGUUUCGAUUACAUGCAAUACUAAUCACAUAGUCAACGUACCUUAACGCUUCCGCCAUACAUAUGGUAAUUUUCGAUUUAAUUAAAAAUACAUAAAACCGAAAAUCACGAAACAUGCUUAUUCAUCAUUCAAUAAGAUCGAAACAUGUAAUCACGUAUUACUCAUGCUUGCAAAUUAAUAAUCAUACAAACAUGUUCGAAUCGAAUUACGAAAGUUCCGAUUUGAUUACCUCUUGUAGCGUGAGAUUUCGACGAAUCGAAAUCCUAGAACGAGUCACGUACAAGCUGCUAAUUACCAAUCCACGGGGCUGCACCUCACGGCUGGACCGAGCUGAUCCAGCAAGCAACGAGCGGCGACGAACGGCAGCAGCAGCGGCGGCGCGUGGCAGCGGCAGCGGCGGCGCGUGAGCGGCGGUGCGGCGCGUGCGGUGGUGCACGGAUUCGUCGGGGCAGCAGCUCCUCUCCAAUUAGGUUUCACCUCGUAUUUUCGACCCACUCGAACUAUAGCACUAGAUAUAAACGAGUUAGAUAACAACACGAAUAAAACGAAGGAGAAAGAGGAGAAAACCGGCGGUGUUUCCGGCGGUGGUCGGCGGUGGCGCGGCGGAGAUGCAACGGCCGAGAGGGGUUGAGCGGCUAGGGUUUUUGUGCUGAAAAAUCUGAUCUCAAAACUCCUUUUGAGGUCUAUUUAUACCUAGGGUUUUCAACCCUAGCGGGCUUAAGUCAUUGGGCUUGACCACUGAUGCAUUAAGCCCAUUCCCUCGUCGGCCUCGUUUCUAAUAAACGAUCGUCCACAAAAUUAUAACAAAAUUAUAUUUGUGACGAGCUCAAAGUCCUCGUCGAUACGAGUGCCUCUUCGAAAUUUCCAAUUUCCAAAAUUGGAAACUUCCACUUCAGUGGACCUGCUAAAUCGGGAAACUUCCCAAUUUAGAAAGUUCACUAAAUUCCGCAUGUCUCUCUUUCUCUACGUUUAUUCCAAUUCGCAAUUCACAAUUGCGAAUCUUGGAUUCAAUCAUAUUGACAUCCAAUCGUUCAAAGAUUAACACAUUAAUCUAUGCUUGUUGUUAUCAAGGAUCUAUUGUACACGAGAAGUGUGACCCUCAAUGGUUCAGGUGUAUGCUAGCCGUGGGCUCACAACUCUUUGUGAUUCGAACAACACAUUGUUCUUAUACGAACUCCUCCCAAGAGUCCCGAUUAGAGUAAAACUCAUUUUACCUAAUCCCCGAUCAAAUCGGUGCCCAACGAAUCAAGAUUGGCGUCUAGCAACUACGCAUCAUGAUUCCCUAGAUACAAAUGAAGUGCCUGCAAGAACCUUAUGAUAUAGUUAGCGUACAGUACGAUCCCUUCGUAGCACAUGUCCCGAUUGAACUAGAGGCAUUGGUUCACCGAGACCUCUUAUAAAGUUCAAUAACCGUGCGCACGUUCUAGGUAUUAUAAAUCCGUUCGUGUGCGACUUAGGGAAACACAUUUCCCUAAUCACCCCACUAUCAACUCUGGCCAGAGAUUCCAUGGAUUAUAAACCGUCAGAACACACAGGACAUCCAUGACUACUCAAGCGCUCGAAUCCCCUACUACAAUGCACAGACUUCACACUAGAUUUCGGAUUGCACGAACGUUGGCCCUUGGAGCGGUCCGCGGUGGGACUCAGGGACAGGUCACGAUACAAUCGGUCCUCUAGUGAAGUCACGGUGAUGUCUGGGUCUUAAGGACUAAUGGUGUACAACUAUAUCUUAGAAACCUAUUACUCGAUGAAUGAGAACCACUUAUAGAUUUCUAGGGCGAGGGAGUUCAGUGAACUCAUCCAGUAUGAGCACCCACUCAAGUAUGCCGAUGUCACAACACCGAGGACUGAUGAGACGCAGUACACAUACACUAAGUGCUAGUCUCAAAAGGGAAAGGCCGGUAUCCUCAUUAUUGGCGUAACCCAUCGACUAGGAACAAGGUUUAACAGUUACAUUACAUUGCUGAGUUAUCUCACGAUUCUACUAGAUCAACUCACAGUAAUAGAGUAACUCGUUAGGACUAUAUCUAUGCUGCUUGCAUGGGAUAACAGAUAUAGAAUGCCAAAUAAGAUAUUUUAUUAUUACGAACGAAAAACGAUUGUUUUAUUACAAAGAAAAGAGAAAGACCACAGCCACAAGUUGGCUUGCCGGUCACCUACUCUAACAAAAAAUUGGUGAUUAACUCAUUAUCAAAGCUUCUAAAAGCAUAUUCAAUAAAAGCAAAAAAAUUACUUACCAAGAUUGGUACGCUUUUUGCACAAUCGUUUUGGCUAUUGAGGUUCUCCAGUGUUGCGGUUAUGAGGCAAUGCAUAAAUUAAAUUAUAUGAGUAUGUGUAAAUUACUUAAGGUAAUGCACAAUAUAAAAAAAAAUUGCAUUACUUAUAAAAUAUUGAGAACAAAAUAAUAUUUAGUAUUAUAUAUUAAAAUAAUACUAAUUCAAAUAUAAACUAUUGAACUAAACUAAAGAAACCAAUUUUAAAAAAGUUAUGCUGGCGCCAGAUUUUUGUUAGUGAAGAUUGAUGAAAUUCGCCAUACUUUGAAAUGAAAAGAUUGGCAAAGAUUUUUUUCCAUGUUUAUUUUGGAAUUAAUUAGAUACCUAUUCUCGUAAUAUUUUUAUUAGGACUUAGAUUUAUUUCCAUGUAUUAUAUUCUACUGAGGUAUCUUUUGUACUUAUCUAGAAUAGAAGUAGAAAUCGACUAAGACUCUAUUACUUAGUUGAAUCAAUUUCUUAGGGCACAAGUUAGGUUUAGGGUGGUGAAUUUCGUGCCUAUAUAAAGCCAUCAACCUCAUAUGAGUCCCAUGAACCUUUAAUCGAAAAAUCCCAGCAUAAAGGCUUUAAAAGGUGCAGCCGGUGUUGCAGCCCUGUCUACACGUCAGGUGUGGCAACAUAACGGGUUUCUUCUAUCAGACCAUAAAGAAGAUCGGCGUUUCGGGAGAAGUUCUUAAAAGAUCUAGGGAGAGGUCGAUCCGCCGUCUGAAGGGAGUUCAACAUUGGAGGAAGUCCAAGAGUGCGGAUGGAGGAAUUGCUUUGAUUAUCAACAAGUUCGAGUCGUGUGCAAGAACGGCGUAUAACAUAAAGAGGGAGUCUUUAGUGUUUUUAUUAAGUCCAAUAUUGUACACUUAAAUCUGAACUAGUUUGCAAGUCCUCGUGGAUCUAGGGUACAUUUGUAUCCGAACCACAUUAAAUUCUUGUGGUCUUUUAUUCUACUUUUAGUUGAUUAAUUCUGUAUACUUAGUAUCUGAUUUUAGGUUUUGAUUUAUUUUAUUUGCUUAUUGGAUGACGUAUGUUCACAAGGAAGGUUGAGACGGAAGUCUGGCAUGACAUUCACCCAAUUCUGUUGCGUUGUAACAUGCCCGUGAUGGGACACUCUGAUAGAAGACCAAAAAUGGGUGAAGAAAAAUGACGUCUAUGUUGUAGGGGGAGUCAUAUUGACAACAUGGAAUUGUAACCAAUCUAUGCUAAAAGGUGAGAUUGUUUGCGCCAUAUUUCUGUUAGUGAAGAUUGAGGAAAUCCACCAUACAUUGAAAUUAAAAGAUUGGCAAAGAUUUAUUUCCAUGUUUAUUUUUGAAUUAAUAGAGUCCUAUUCUUGUCAUAUUUUUAUUAGGACUUAGAUUUAUUUUUGUGUAUUAUAUUCUAGGUAGGUAUCUUUUGUACUUAUCUAGAAUAAAAGUAGAAAUCGACUAGGACUCUAUUACCUAGUUAAAUUGAUUUCUUAGGGCUCAAGUUAGGUUUAUGGUGGUGAAUUUUGUACCUAUAUAAAGCCCUCAAUCUCAUAUGAGUCCCAUGAAGCUUUAAUCGAAAAAUCCCAGCAUAAAGGCUUUGAAGGGUUCAGCCGGUGCUGCAGCUCUGUCUGCACGUCAGGUGUGGCAACAGAACGGGUUUCUUUUACCAGGCCAUAAAGAAUAUCGGUGUUUCAGGAGAAGUGCUUAAAAGAUCUCGGGGAGAGGUCGAUCCGCCGUCUGAAAGGUGUUCAACAUUAAAGGGAGUCCAAGAGUGCGGAUGGAGGAAUUGCUUUGAGCAUCAACAAGUUCGAGUUGUGUGCAAGAACGACGUAUAACAAAAAAAGGGAAUCUUUAGUGUUUUUAUUAAGUCCAAUAUUGUACACUUAAAUCUGAACUAGUUUACAAGUCCUCGUGGAUGUAAGGUACAUUUGUAUCCGAACCACAUUAAAUUCUUGUGUUCUUUUAUUCUGCUUUUAGUAAAUUAAUUAUGUAUACUGUUAAGUGUAUAUUUUUACACUUUAUCGUAUCUUUUUAUUUGAGAUUUUUGUGUGAAUUUACGAUAAUUGGUGCUUAAAAAGUUGAUUUAUUGUAUUCUAGGUACAAAUUGAAGAAUUGGAAAAGUUUGGGGUCAAAACUGCAAUUUUGGAGAAAAUAUGGGCCAAAAGUGAAAUAAUCAAAAAUAUGCUGAAAUUGGCUGAAAACAGGCCCGCACGGCCGUGCCAAAAUUAGCCUAUUUUUGGCACGGCCGUGCCAAAUGCUGAAUUUGGGCAGAAGGUUUGGCGAUUCUCGCGCGGCCGUGCGAGAAUUGCACUGAUUUUCGCGCGGCCGUGCCAACACACGCUGGACACAAUUUUGGACUUUUAAACACACAAGGAAACCUAGAAUCAUCUACCAAGUUGGGACAUCUAUUUAAGCCCAAACCAAGCACGAAUCAAAGGACUUUUGACACAACCUUGGAGCGAGAGGAGCGAGAGAACGAAGAAUCGAAGACGGAGAAUUGACAACUCUUCAUCAUAAUUCUUCUUUCACCUAUCUUUUCUUAAUCUAUGACUUUUAUUACUUUUAUUAUGUUUUUCGUUAUGAGUAGCUAAGUUUUUAAUCUAGGAUUUUGUUGGAACCCUAUGUGGGGAUUGUGAACCCGUUUUCUUGAGAUUAUGCAAUUAUGAUUUUAUGCGUUGAGACAUAAAACUCUUAUGGACUGAAGCUUGGGCUGCUCGAAGUAAAUGCACAAUGGAGCAUGGUCAGAUAGAGAGCGAUCAAGGUGUACCACCUUCAAAGUUGGAAACCGGAGCUGGAAAGCAGAGUUAACCAAUACUCUAUCCAAUCGGCUCCACACCCGGUUAGUACCAUGUCGGUUGUUGCUCCAAGUAAACGGGUUUCCUAUGAACCCUGCAUCGAGAAGACCCGAUUAAAUAAAAAAAUUCUGGAAAUCAUGGAGUCUUGUAGCGUCAUUCAAGCCUCCUUUCUUUUCCGACACAUCUAAAAUCGCAUUAAAAUCACCACCUAGAAACCAAGGAUCCGAGAUAACUUCAUUCAUAGCAGAGAGGUGAGCCCAAAGAUCCUUCCUUGAAUGGUGAGAACAAGUAGCAUACACAAUGGAAGCUGUGAAGUGCGGUUUACUAGGGGUGGUAAUAGAAACUGUGAUAGCUUGUUCAAAAAUAUUCGGGCAUUGAACAUCUACCUUGGCUUUCCAUAGUAUCCAUAUGUAUUGGUUUUUAUCCUCACCGUGUAAGUAUGAGGGAAAACCUAAUUUCCAGGCAAAAUUGUGCAGCCUAGCCAUGGGAAGUUUCAGUUCUAAUAUCACCAAUAAAUUGACCCGUUGUUGAAAAACGAGGGUUUUUAUAUGAUUAAUUUUAGAUUGUGGACAGACCCCCCGCGCAUUCCAAAUUAAACACGACAUGAUUAAACUUGGAGAUUGGCAGAGAACUUUGCCAGAUAUCUGGUAACUCGAUCGGUAGGUGGGAUAAAAUACCUACUAUUAGGGUUUAGAACUUUAGUUCCAGGAGCUCGCACAGGGACUUCACCGUCCGAUUUUGGAGACAUGGGUACACCUGUUUCGUCAUCUUUUUCCCCGUCGGGAUGGUAAAUUGUAAGGGUCAAAUUCGCAUCACCUACCAAAUGUAAUUGAUCAAACUGAUUUUCAACUGCAAUUGAAUCGUCUCUCAUUUUUUUUAUUGGUUGUUGGAUUUAGGGAAGCGUUUUCUAAAGUUCGUUCCGCUUCGUGGAAGUGGGCUUGCAUGGAUGGUUGUUGUAUGUCACCAGCAUCAGUGUUGGAAGUGUGGGUGUUUUGCGUCUCAUCUACGUGGCAUGUUGAGUCUCGAGCACCGUCAAUGUGUUGAGUAAGAUUUGAACCGUCUUGAGUCUUGUGCUUAGGUUUUAGACCGGUGUCCACCUGAUAACCAGCAGUUGUACCAGACGUGGUAGGGAGUGGAGUCUCGAUAUUUUUCGACAUCCUUGAUACAGAUUUUGGGUUAGAAUCAGCUGCAAGGAUAUGACCGACCUCAUCCUGAGUAGUAUCGGUCUCACCAUGGUGCAAUAUAUGAGUAGGUUGUUUCUGCCCCAACGGUUUUGGCUUGCUAGGAGGUUUCGGUAACCCUUGUUUUUUCCUACAUGCUCCAACCAGAUGCCCCAACAACCCACAAUGAGAGCAGUACAGGUGAUUACCUUCAUACUCGACUUUUUGCCACCACCCAUCCUCCUUGGAUGUACCUAUGAAUAUCGAUUCCGGCAAUUGCUUUGCAACAAUAACCUCUAUGCAAACUCUCGCGUAAUGUGUAUGUGUAAAAGCCAACGUUCUAUCAUCCACUCGUAAGACAUUACCAUGCGCUGUUCCAAUUCGUUCCAAAGAUGAGACCUUGAAAUAUGGGAGCGGUAACUUAAGGAGACGAACCCAAACUGCAACCCUGCUACUAUCUUUGCCUAUAGAAAAUUCUGGUGUCCAACGAAAAAGUCGGAACAUACAAUUCUUUAUAUUAUUCAAAUUGCGUGAAAGGGCGAGCUUUGCAUCUUGAGUCGAGCCCAUAUGAAUCGUGAUAUGUCUUGGAUCUAAAAAUCCUAUAGCUGGCUCCGACACUAGAUUCCAUUUUGUAUUGAUGUGUGUACAGAUAUCUUGUAAACUUGGGCGGCCUGCCAAGAUUUCAUGAUCAGUGUAUAGUCUACCUGACGAUUUAGUUGGUCGAUUUCCAUUGACGAGAAGAACACCGUCGGAGCUUGUUCAACAGACGAGGUGGGGCGAGGGGCUAAAGCAACGGGGACUAGGCGGGGAGGUGAAGUUGUUCUUUGGUUGGUCAGCAUGGCCGCAAAAGAGGGCUGGGGUUGCUGCCUUGGAGGCGCCAGCGGCUGGUCCGGUGGUUGCAUGCCGCCGGAAUAGGACAAAAAGCGGAGAUGGGCAGCUAGGGUUAGGGUUCGACGAUGAGAGAGAGAAGAGACGCAAAAUUAUCUUCUAAUUCACAAAAUAUUACAAGUAUUAAAAAAGGGGGAAUGCGAUAUAGGCUCAUGGAAUAAAGUUUUGUUUGAAAUCAGCUCACCUUGAACUUUUAUUUCAAAUAGAGCCAUAAAAACAUGAAUCCCAAAAUAACCCUCACCUAUUUUCAUUUCAUAUAAGCAUCAAGUGUUGGAAAAAUAAAAAAAUAAAAUUAAUGAACACAACAACACCCAACACCACCUCACCCCACCCCACCCGGUUAUUAUUGUACUCUUAUUUUCUUUGAUACGACAGGUGGUCGGAGUCCUGAGCAGACUCAACUUAUCAAUAUUGGCUUAAUUCCACUUUGCAUCCUUGAAAAAUAAUAAUAGCAUUUUGCACCCUCAGGACACAAUAAAUCCUUCACAAUGCACCGUUAAUUGAAUAAUAAAGGAUAAUUCAUUUAUUAUGGUUUUGUUUCUUUUUUCAGGGUACAAAAUAACAAAUUAAAUUGUUAUUUCUUUGACCUCCAACCUAAUUUCGAGCGCACAAAGUGCGCAAAAAUUAAAAUCACACUGAUAAAUGAUUUUUGUUUUUCUUAGACAAUAAAAUCAAUUAGACUGUUAUUACUAAAUUAUUCGAUUGAUGGAUCUUUUAUGGUAAUUGGUAAAAAUAUUAGGUAGAAAUAUUUUGAAGAAACUAUGAUUUUCUGAUAACUUGAUAAUCAAAUAGCUGAAGAAUUUUUUUUUCGUAAAUUUUUUUGUCAUAAAAAAAUAUAAUUUUUAAAUACCACUAAACAUAUUAACUUACCUUUAUUAGCUUUAAAAACUCGUAUGGGGUGCAUUAUGCAUGAUAAUUUGUGUUUUGAGGGUACAAAGUGCUAUUAAUUUGUUUUGACGGUGCAAAGUGUCAAAAUAGUAUAUUUCAAGGGUGCAAAGUGGGAUUAAGCCUAUCAACAUCAGUUCACUUUAUACCAUAUGCUAAAAUCUGACUUAUUUUGCUUUUUUUUAACCAGUGGAAGAUCGUUGGAGCUCAAAUCAUCUGUCAGAGCAGACUCAACAUUAGUUAACUUCGGCUUCACCUGAAACCAGACUUUUUUCAGCUCUGAUUUAGUUAACUAAAUAAAGUUAAAUGAUGCAGAAAUCAGAUAAGAUUUAGUUAGUUAAUCAGAGCUCCGACGAUCCGUCGUUGGAAAAAAAAAAAGAAAAAGAUGUUAGCUAAUAUUUAAUCAGCUAAUCACAACUCCGAUGAUCCGCCGUCGAAAAAAUAGGUAGAAAGAAAAAAUAUUUUCUCAGCUAGUGCUGAAGUCAACUAAUGUUUUGUAAGAUGAUCGGAGCUCCCACAAUCCGUUACUUGAGAAAAAGAGAGGAUAAAAAAGAAAAUCAAUCAGAUAUCAGCUAAUGUUGGUUUGUAAAGUCAGCUAAUCAGACCUCCGAGACCCGCAAUCGAAAAGAAACAAAAAUUAAAAAUAAAUAAAUAAAUAAAAAUAAAAUCUUAUUAAUGAAAAUAAGGUUGCUUCUGGUAAGCUCUAGGGGCUUUCCCUCUAAUUUAAUAGUUCCAAUAGUCACUUAAUUUCAUUUAAUAUAAUUAAUUUUAAUAAUAUUUAUUAUUUGCUCCUAUUUUUUGCCUCAAAUCUAUGUAAUUAAUUAUUGAUUCCUAUUAAUACUUUAUUUACUCCAUUAAUUUUAGCAAUAUUUAGUAAUUGACUCCUACUAUUUUUCCCAAACAUAUGAAAUUAAUUAUUAGUUCCUAUUAUUAUUUUAUUCACUAAAUUAAUUCCCAUGAUUAAUUGAGAAAUCUGAAGAUGUAACACACCCCCCCCCCCCCCCCCCCUUUUUUUAUUCCAGUUACUUUUAUUAUUUUAUUUACUCAAUUCGUUUCACAGAUUUUUUGCCCCAAAUCUAACUACACAUAUCUUUCUUUGACAAUAUUUUUCUUUAUCCCACUUCUCUCUACAAUCACCUCUCCCGUCUCCUUUUUUUAGAUUGUUUUAUUGAGUUAUUUAGUAUCUUUUAAGAUUUUCUUCCCCAAAUCAACCGAUGUAUCUUUUUCCCACUUCUUUCUACGUAUCUUUCGAAAAACCUACUUAUAUCUUUCUCCCACUUCUGUGUAGGGAUCUUUCUCCCUACCAAAAAUCAUCUCCAUUCAUCGGGUUAGUUUUGAAGAAGUAACUUUGUUCAUUAAGUCAAUUUCGUAUCUAUAGAUGUAAUGGACAGUUCAUUUUCUUUUAUGUUAUUCUUUCAACAUUAGAUUCGUUCCUUUUUCUAAUUCUAUGUUUUUGUUCUUUUAUUCAUAAUAGCAGAUAUGGCUCCAAAGCCGUUCUUGAUUCAUGAAAUUAUUCCGGGCAAAAAGACUGAAGGGAAAAGUAUUUAUUUGGGAGAUACGUCUACGGUUCUUAACUGAUAAGUGGAAUCCAAAAGAGAAAGCUAGCAUCGAAAUGAUUUUUAUUGAUGAGAAGGUGAUUGUGUACUUAUUUGUUUAUUAUGUUUAUUUUUUCCUUAUUUAUGUUUUGAGUAUUCAAAAUGUAAAUAUAAUUGUGACAUUAUGGUUGCCCAUAUUUUGAUGGGCGAACAUAAAAUUUCCUCAUCAUAUUAUCUUUAUGUGAUAUGUAUAAUAAAGAGGUUCUCCUUGAUCCCUCGACCACUUUUGUAGGCUCAAAUGUUUUGGUUCUCUUCAUUUUACUGUGAAUUAAUGAAUUAAGAAUCUAGGAUCAUUUCGAAAAAUUUGAACAUUUAUAUUGUCUGUUGUUUUCCUAAAUAUUUGAAUUUAUUUAAUAAAAUUUUAGGAUCAGCGAUACGAUCCAGCCAAUAACGCGAGGUAGUGCCGAGCUGGAUGAGUGAGUUGAUGACUUGAACGAGCUGCAUGUGCCAAUAGGACCGAUUACGCGAGCUCGGGCCAAACGCAUUGAAGCAGCCAUGCUUAGCUUAGUAGAACACGAGCUCCGAAAGGAAUAAUUGACGAAAUCUAGUUCGAUCCCAGCUGAGGUUAAUUGGAGCGAAUUGUCGGGCCAGAUUGUGAAGUAAGCCGAGCUCAAGGACUUGAGCCCGUCUAGUCAUCCAGCCGAGAAGACGUGACAUGGAAAUGAUUAUUAUUAUUUAUUUUCGUAUUUUAUUAUUGAACAAUGUAUUUCUUGCUAUUUAGAGUCCGAGUUGGACUAAAUUUAGUUUAUUUGGUUAUUUCCUUAUAAUAGAUAAGUAAAGAUUUAUUUUCCUUAGAUCAGGUCUCUUUAACACUUAUAAAUACAGGUUGUUUUAGGGUCAUUAUUAUUUGGACGUUUUUAAGCAUUAAUUUGAGAGAUUAAAAACUAUCCUUCGUUGUUCUUCAACAACUCUUCGGGAUAUUUUGCGAGUGGAUUCUUGUGAACUAUUCUUAGCGAUAUAGUGUUGGUUUUUGAUUCAUAAUAAUCACGGGGUCAAUACUUUCAUCUUUAUAAUAUUGGUUUCUAGCUCUCUCUAGCAACGGGGUCAAUCUUCCGAAUUCCGCCAAUUGAAUCAUUUCUUUGGACGUUCCGUUCUUGCUUCCACGUAAGAUAUUUGGAUCUCGUAACAAGUUCUACGAGGUUCGUAUCAGUUGGUAACCAGAGCCUAUUUCCAAAACAGGUUUUUCCUAUCUUUUGUUUUCAUGUGUUUGAUUUCAUUUUUCUUUUCGUGUCGGUUAUUGAUUGUGUCUUCUAGUCAAUCUCAUCAUCUCUUGAUUUGUAUCUUCUAGAGUCUUCAAAAAAAAUGAAAAAAGAAAAUCCGAAAUCAGCAAAAAGAAGAUCGGACAUGGCAAAAAAAAAAAAAAAAAAAAAAGUUAAAGAAAUAGAGAGAAGAAGCACAAUUUGAAAAUACAAGCAAGCAAGGAUUCAAUUAGUUUCCUAGUCUCUGAAAUUCUUGUUUCCUUAUCUACCUUGUCUCCUUUUUUAAAUCCACAUUCUUUAGUAGUUUUCUACUGCAUAUCUCAUUCUUUCUUGUACCUUUUUGUUUCCUUUAUCAUAAAUUCGAAUUCCUCUUUUAUUUUCCUCCAAAUAAAUUCUGAAUUAAUCAUAUAUCAUUUAGCUUUGAAUAAAAAUGAAAUUUCACUCAAAAAAAAAUUCUCGAUUAGUUUCUUUAGAACUUUGAAGAAAGUUUACGAGUGGAAAAAGGCAAGAGAGUGUGAGAUCAAAAGAGGGUAAAAGCCGAUUUGUGUGAAACACGAGUGAAUUGAGUGGACAUCAUCUUGAGUGAUACAGAUAAGGGAAUGGUGAGGAAAAUCUUUUUUCUUUAACAAUAUUUUGCAGUUCGAGCACCAUGUCAUGGAAUGGUAGUGGUGGUGAAAGGGACGGAGCCACGGAGCAGCACUUCCAACAUCUGCAUAUAACCCUUCAAAUGAUGCAAAAUCAAAUCGAUGAGUUGAGUAGGGUAAGACCUGCACCGGCACCACAACUGCGGCAACCUAUUCGUCAACAUAUUCUAUGCCAACGUGACGAAUUGGAGUUCGAUGAAGGAUCUGAGGUAGAGUCUAAUACUUCUAGACGAUGGCGUAGAAGACAAGGGAAAAAAGGUGACAAAUUUGACAGACUGAGGCGAGGUAAUGUGGGACGAGAAAGAGAUGGAUCCCGAGGCAUACAUAGAAUGGGAAAGAAAGGUUGAGCUCGUUUUCGAUUGCCACACUUAUUCCGAGGAAAAGAAGGUGUAGCGUUCACCGAUUAUGCUAUCAUUUGGUAGAAUCAAUUGGUAGUGACUAGAUGCAGAACUGGCGAACCGCCAAUUUUGGAUUGGGAGUCUAUGAAGACACUUAUGAGACGGAGGUUCGUGCCCUCACAUUAUUAUAGAGACUUGCAUCUGAAAUUGCAAAGCUUGAAGCAAGGUGCUAAAUCAGUCGAGGAGUACCAUAAGUAGAUGGAGAUUGCAAUGAUUCGAGCCAAUAUUGAGAAGGAUCGAGAGGCCACGAUGGCAAGAUUUAUUUGCGGGCUGAACCAGGAGAUCGCUAAUGUAGUGGAGUUACAGCACUACGUUGAGAUUGAGGAGGUCGUUUAUAUGGCCAUGAAAGUUGAGAGAAAGCUUAACCGAGGGGGGAGAACAACAGCUCGGGCCAAGGCAUCAAGCUGGAAACCGCGAUGGAAUCCUACUUCGAAACCCGAGGAGAAAUCGACAACGAAACCUUCCAAUGAUCAUCCAAUCAACCGAGCACCAACUGAGAGAGGUAAUACUUCGUCACAAGCUAGGGCUGCAAGUCACCAAACAUCCGAGAACUUACAAACUUCAGUGGCUGAAUGAAAGUGGCGACUUGAGAGUGACGAAACAAGUAUUUAUUUCCUUUAGUAUUGCACAAUACAUAGAUGAGGUGAUGUGCGAUGUUGUACCCAUGCAAGCAAGUCAUAUCUUACUUGGGUGACCUUGGUAAUUUGAUCGACGAACAGUUCAUGAUGGUUACAAAAACUGCUACACUUUUACUAAUGAUGGCAUGCGAAUCACACUUGCACCUUUACCACCUCGUCAUGUGUUUGAGGAGCAAAAUUAGAUCAAGAAUUCCAUUGCUGCAAGUUCAAGACAAAAUGAGAAUGAACGUGCACGUGUUAGUAUUAGUGGAGAAGUAAAACAAGAGAGUUUAGCCGAAGUUAGAAAAGAAAAAGAAGAGAGUGCAAACUUAAUAAAGAGAGAUGGGAGAAAAGUGAGAUUUUAUGCAAAAGAAUGAGAGACUAAGAGUGCAUGUAAGGGUGAGAGAACAAUGAUGUUGUUAGUGUUAGGGGGUUCUAUUUUUCUAAUGCUAACCUUAAUUCUCCUUUGCCUAGUAUUGUUAUUUCUCUUUUGCAGGAGUUCGAUGAUUUCUUUCCCGACGAGACCCUAACGGGGUUGCCACCAAUUCAAGGGAUUGAGCACCAAAUUGAUGUUAUUCCUGGGUCCCAAAUUCCAAAUAGACCAGCUUACCGAAGUAGUCCCGAGGAGAGAAAAGUUAAAUUUUAUGCAAAAGAAUGAGAGACUAAGAGUGCAUGUAAGGGUGAGAGAACAAUGAUGUUGUUAGUGUUAGGGAGUUCUAUUUUUCUAAUGCUAACCUUAAUUCUCCUUUGCCUAGUAUUUUUAUUUCUCUUUUGUAGGAGUUCGAUGAUUUCUUUCCCGACGAGACCCUAACGGGGUUGCUAUCAAUUCAAGGGAUCGAGAACCAAAUUGAUGUUAUUCCAGGGUCCGAAAUUCCAAAUAGACCAGCUUACCGAAGUAGUCCCGAGGAGACGAAAGAGUUACAACAGCAAGUGGACGACCUGUUAGCUAAAGGACAUGUUCGAGAAAGCAUGAGUCCUUGUGUAGUGCCUGUUUUACUAGUACCGAAGAAGAAUGGGAGUUGGAGAAUGUUUGUUGAUUGUCGAGCCAUCAAAAAAAUUAUGGUAACGUAUCGACACCCCAUUCCUUGAUUAGAUGACAUGUUAGAUGACCUACAUGGUUCCAUUAUCUUAUCUUAAAUUGAUUUGAAAAGUGGUUGUCACCAAAUUCGCAUAAAAGAGGGAGAUGAGUGGAAAACUGCAUUUAAAACUAAGCAUGGAUUGUUGAAUGGUUAGUGAUGCCUUUUGGUUUAACUAAUACACCAAGUACGUUUAUGCGACUUAUGAAUCAUGUUAUGCGAUCUUACAUAGGAAAAUUGGUUGUUGUUUACUUUGAUGAUAUCUUAGUAUAUAGCAAUAAUUUGCAUGAUCAUGUUGAGCAUUUGAGAUGUGUCUUGGAGUCCUUACGGCGAGAACAAUUAUAUGCUAAUUUAAAGAAUUGUGAUUUCUGCCAAGAUAGGAUAGUUUUCCUUGGUUUUGUUGUGAGUUCUAGGGGCGUUGAAGUGGACGAGGAAAAGGUUAAAGCUAUUCGUGAAUGGCCAACACCCAAGAACGCAUCCGAGGUGUGAAGCUUCCAUGGCCUAUCGGGAUUCUAUAGGAUAUUUGUACCUAACUUCAGCACAAUUGCAGCACCUUUGACCGAGGUGAUCAAGAAGGAGGUUGGCUUCAAAAGGGGCGAUGCGCAAGAGAAUGCAUUUUGCACUUUGAAAGAUAAGCUAAGUUCCGCUCCUUUAUUACUUUUACCAGAAUUUUCUAAAACUUUCGAAAUCAAAUGUGAUUCUUCCGGAAUUGGUAUUGGUGCAGUGCUUAUGCAAGACAAGCGACCUAUCGCUUAUUUCAGCGAGAAGCUCAACGGCGCAACCUUGAAAUACUCGACCUAUGACAAAGAGCUCUACGUGUUGGUGCGAGCUUUGGAGACUUAGCAACAUUACUAGUUGUCUAAGGAAUUCGUAAUCCACACUGAUCACGAGUCUCUAAAGCAUCUUAAGGGCCAAGGCAAGCUGAACCGAAUACAUGCUCGGUCGGUGGAGUUUAUCGACAUGUUUCCUUUUGUGAUACAGUACAAACAAGGUAAAGAUAAUGUCGAAGCUGAUGCACUAUCUCACAGGUAUGUUCUCAUUUCGACCCUUAGCGCUAAAUUCUUAGGUUUUGAGCAUGUUAAGGAGCUGUACAUGAACGAUCAUGAUUUUGCUACUAUAUUUGCUGCAUGUCAAAAAGGAACUUUUGAAAAAUUAUACAAGCAUGAUGAUUAUUUGUUUAGAGAGAACAAACUUUGCAUGCCUAAUUGUUCGCUUCGUGAAUUACUUGUGCGAGAAUCACAUGGAGAGAGUUUAAUGGGACAUUUUGGUGUUUCAAAAACAUUAGAUAUUUUAAAAGAACAUUUCUUUUGGCCGCGUAUGAAGCAAGAUAUUGAGAGGGUUUGUUCGAAGUGUCUAACACGUAGGCGAGCUAAAUCUAGGGUUAAACCACAUGGAUUAUAUAUGCCAUUACCUGUGCCUACUCACCCUUGGACCGAUGUAUCAAUGGAUCUUGAUUUAGGGUUUUCGAGGUAGAGUAAAGGUCGACUUUAUAUUUUUGUUGUGGUAGAUCGUUUUUCUAAAAUGGCACACUUUAUUCCAUGUCAUAAAACUGAUGAUGCUACGCAUGUAGCAAAUUUAUUCUUUAGAGAAGUAGUGCGAUUGCAUGGGGUACCUCGUACUAUUGUUAGUGAUAGGGAUGUUAAAUUCCUUAGUUAUUUUUGGCGUUUUUUGUGGGAUAAGUUAGGUACGACUUUACUCUUUUCUACUACUUGUCAUCCACAAACCGAUGGUCAAACCGGUGAAGUUAAUCGAAAUUUAGGUAUGUUAUUGCGAGUUGUUCUUAAAAGAAACCUAAAGUCAUGGGAGGAAUGUAUUCAUUUUAUUGAGUUCGCGUAUAAUAGAUAGGUGCAUUCUUCUACAAAGUUUUCACCUUUUGAGAUUGUUUAUGGUUUUCAUCCGUUAACUCCUUUGGAUUUGUUGCAUUUACCUGUUAAUGAUAUUUCUAGUCUAGAUAGGAAGCGUAAGGCUGAGUUAGUGAAGAAAAUCCAUGAAGAAGCACGCGAGCACAUUGUGAAGAGGAAUGAGCAAGUUGCGAACCGAGCUAAUAAGGGGCGAAAGCACCUUACCUUUCAGCAAGGAGAUUGGGUUUGGGUUCAUUUACGAAAGAAAAGGUUUCCCAAUCAGCGGAGUUCAAAACUUAAGCCACUAGGAGAUAGACCGUUCCAAGUGCUGGAAAAUAUUAACGAUAAUGCAUAUAAGAUCGACCUUCCAAGUGAGUAUCAAGUAAGUUCGACAUUUAAUGUUUCUGAGCGAUCUCCGUUUUAUGUAGGUUCAGAUUCGAGGAUGAAUCCUUUCCAAGUGGGGAAGGAUGAUAUGAUCCAGCCAAUUACUCGAGGUAGUGCCGAGCUGGAUGAAGGAGUUGAUGACUUGGACGAGCUGCAUGUGCCAAGACGACCGAUUACGCGAGCUCGGGCCAAGCGCAUUGAAGCAACCAUGCUUAGCUUAGUAGAACACGAGCUCAGAAAGGAAGAAUUGACGAGGUCUAGUUCGAUCCCUGUUGAGCUUAAUUGGAGCGAAUUAUCGGGCCAGAUUGUGAAACAAACCGAGCUCAAGGACUUGAGCCCGUCUAGUCAUCCAGCCGAGAAGACGUGACUUGAAAAAAUGAUUAUUAUUUAUUUUCGUAUUUUAUUAUUGAACAAUUUAUUUCUUCCUAUUUAGAGUCCAAUUUGGACUAAAUUUAGUUUAUUUGGUUAUUUCCUUAUAAUAGAUAAGUAAAGAUUUAUUUUCCUUGUUAGAUUAGGUCUCUUUGACACUUAUAAAUAGGUUGUUUCAGGGUCAUUAUUAUUUGGACCUUUUUAAGCAUUACUUUAAGAGAUUAAAAAUUCUCCUUCGUUGUUAUUCAACAACUCUGCGGGAUAUUUUGCGAGUGGAUUCUUGUGAACUAUUCUUAGCGAUAUAGAAUUGGUUUCUGAUUCAUAAUAAUCACGGGGUCAAUAUUGGUUUCUAGCUCUCAAUAUCUACGGGGUCAAUAUUCCGAAUUCCGCCAAUUGAAUCUUUUCUUUGGACGUUUCUGUUGGGUUUCGGGCACGCGUACGCAGCGGAAAACAAAAAUUUUAUGUGAUUUAAACGACUUUAAAACACACAAGCACAUGCCCGAUAAAUUAAAUCAAUUAAUUGCGUACCUUUGCGCUUCCAGCGAAAUUAAAAACAAUAUACAUGCUAAAUAAUUUAACCGAAUUUUAAUCAAUUAACAUGCUCGCGUUUAAACCAAUAAUCAUGCUUGCAAAGAUUAAAACGAUUACACAUAAUCACAUAAAAUCAUACGAUAGCAAACAUGAAUUCAUAGUUUAAACAUAAACGAAUCGAAACUAGGGUUUCGUAUAUUUACCUCUUGAAGCGUGAGGUAGGAGCGUUUAGCAAGUCGAGAUUGCUACGGAAACCAAUCCGUACAAUCGGGGCAGCAGCGGCGAAUCAGCCACGGCGGCGCGUGAGGUACACGCCCGGUCUUCCGGGGCGGCGCGUGGGGCAGCGUGCGGCUUCGGCUCGUGCGCUGCUCUUCGAUUCCUCGAUCUUCGAUCUUCCUCCUCUUGGAUUUCACCUCGUAUACUUCGAUCUACUAAACACGUGGCACUAGACACGUAAUAGUUAGAAAAACGGAAGAAAAAGAGAAGGAAAAAGACUACCAAGGCAGUCGGCCGAUGAACGGCCGAUUCCGGCGAGAAUCCGGCGACGGCGCCGGUGAUGGCCGCGGGAGAGAGGCCGAGAGAGAGAGGUGGACGGCUGCUAGGGUUAGGGUUCUUGUUGUGUUGUUUUUUGUGCAAGACCUAUAAAUCAAGUAUUUAUAUGUCUUGCAUAAAACCCUAGCGGGCUUAAGUUGGACCGGGCCCAACAGCUUAAGUCCGUUAGUAUCUUUACUUGCUCGUCUCUCUUAAUUCAAUGACCGAAAAAUUGCAACGAUUACAUUUUCGGAUUCAUUAUAACUUCCUCGUCAUUACGAGUGCCAUCUCUCAUUUUCCAACUUUCCAAAAGUGGAAACCCUAGUUCAGUGCACUUUCUAAAUUUGGAAACUUCCCGAUUUAGAAAGUUCACUAAUACGUUCGCCUAUUCUUUUCCUUUUCUUAUUCUCAUUCAUAUUUCCAAAUUACGAAUGUUGGAUCCAAUCAUAUUGACUUCCAAUCAUGCAAAGAUAAACUAUUUUACCUUUGACCGUUUAUUCAAAGAUCUCAUGUGCACGAGCAGUGUGACCCUCGAUGGUUCAGGUGUAAGCUAGCCGUGGGUCCACAACCCUUUGUGGUCAAAACUCGUCCCUUAGAGUUACGAUUAAGAUGAAGCUCGUUUCAUCUUAAUCACCCAACGAAUCAAGAUUGGCGUCUAGCAACUACGCGUCAUGAUUCCCUAGAUACAAAUGAAGUGCCUGCAAGAACCUUCAGAUAUAGUUAACGUACAGUACGGUCCCUUCGAUACAUAUGUCCCGAUCGAACUAGAGGCAUUGGUUCAUCGAGACCUCUUUAUAUGUUCGAUGACGGUGCGAUCGUUCUAAGUGUUGUAAUCCUUACGUGCAUGACUUAGAGAAUCGAAUCCUCUAAUCAUCACUUAGUCAGCUCUGGCCAGAGACUUAGAAUGAUUACAAACUUUCAGAACACACAGGACAUCCAAGACUAUUCUAGCGAUCGAAUCCCCGACUACAAUGCACAGACCUCCCACUAGAUUUCGGACUGCACGAACACUGGCCCUUGGGAUGGUCCUCGGUGGAACUCAGGGACAGGUCACGAUACAGCUGGUCCUCUAGUGAAGUCACGGUGAUGUCUAGGUCAUAAGGACUAAUGGUGUACAACUAUACCAUAGAUUUCUCUACUCGAUUAUUGGGAACCACUUAGAGAUUUCUAGGGUGAGGGAGUUCAGUGAACUCGUCAACUUACGAGCACCCACUUAUGCAUGCCGAUAUCACAAUACCGUUUACUGAUGAGAUGCAGUAGACAUACACUAAGUGCUAGUCUUAAUGGGAAAGGCCGAUAUCCUCAUUAGUGGCGUAACCCUUCGACUAGGAACACGUUUAACAGUUAUAAUACUUGAGUAAAUAUCUCACGAUCCUAACGAUCAAUUACUAGUACUUGUAAUAACUGUAAGGACUAUAUCUAUGCUUGUGACAAAGGGACAAAGAUAUAGAAUGCCAAGGUGUUUUAUCAUUAAUACGAAUAAAGGUUCGUUUAUUACAAUAAUAAAUACGAAAGACCACAGCCACAAGUUGGCUUGUUGGUCACCUACUCUAACAAUCUCCCACUUGACCUAAAGCCAACUACCCAUAAAUCGCAAUCCCAUCGACUCUCGAUGUUUCUCAUGGACCGAUCUCGGUAAAGGCUUCGUGAAGGGGUCUGCAACGUUCUCUUCCGAGGUGACUCGUUCAACCUUGACUUCACCUCUAUCAAUGAUCUCUCGGAUCACGUGAUACUUCCUCAGAAUAUGCUUCGACUUCUGAUGAGAUCGUGGCUCCUUAGCUUGCGCCACGGCUCCGGUGUUAUCACAGUACAACGGUACUGGAUCACUAGCAUCAGGAAUGACACCCAACUCUUGGAUGAAUUUCCUUAUCCAAGUCCCUUCUUUUGCAGCUUCGGACGCUGCAAUGUAUUCCGCUUCGGUAGUGGAAUCGGCCGUCGUGCUUUGCUUGGAACUCUUCCAACACACGGCACCACCAUUAAGCGUGAAUAUAAAUCCAGAAUUCGACUUUGAGUCGUCCACAUCCGAUUGAAAACUAGAGUCAGUAAAACCCUCUAAUUUCAACUCGGCACCCCCAUAGACCAAAAUUAUAUCCUUAGUUCUUCGCAAGUACUUGAGGAUAUCUUUCACGGCUUUCCAGUGAGCCGGGCCGGGGUUAGACUGAUAUCUGCUUGUGACACUCAGAGCAUACGCAAUAUCGGGUCUCGUACAUAGCAUGCCGUACAUUAUGCUUCCUAUGGCAGAAGCAUAGGGCGUCCUUUUCAUCUCCUCGAUUUCACUAGGUGUUUGCGGACACAUAGAUUUCGAGAGACGAACCCCAUGGGACAUUGGCAAGAAUCCCUUCUUGGAAUGUUCCAUGCUAAACCGUUUCAUAACGGUGUCUAUGUACAGGCUUUGGGAUAAGCCAAGCAUCUUCCUCGCUCUAUCUCUAUAGAUGCGUAUUCCUAAUACGUAAGAUGCUUCUCCCAAAUCCUUCAUUGAGAAACGUGUGGACAACCAUGCUUUCGUUUGUUGCAGCAUUCCUACGUCAUUCCCAAUGAGUAGAAUGUCAUCAACGUAAAGCACUAAAAAUAUCACUGCCCUCCCACUAACCUUCUUGUAUACACAAGGUUCCUCCGGAUUCUUCUCAAAAUCAAACUCUUUGAUAGUUGAGUCGAAUCUAAUGUUCCAACUACGGGAUGCUUGCUUCAAUCCAUAAAUGGAUCGCUGGAGCUUGCAAACCUUUUGCUCACUUCCAGAAGAUAUGAAGCCUUCCGGCUGCGCCAUGUAAAUUUCUUCCUCAAUGUCUCCAUUAAGGAAGGCGGUCUUCACAUCCAUUUGCCAUAUCUUGUAGUCGUACCAUGCAGCUAUGGCCAGCAAAAUCCUAAUGGACUUUAGCAUCGCGACUGGUGAAAAGGUUUCCUCAUAGUCAACACCUUGCCUUUGAGUGUAUCCUUUUGCUACCAAUCUAGCUUUAUAGGUCGAUACCUUUCCAUCAACUCCAAUUUUCUUCUUAUAGAUCCACUUGCAGCCUAUAGGAACAAUUCCUUUGGGUGGAUCUACCAAGACAUAUGAUGAAGAAGAUGAGACAAUAAUAUCGAUAGAAAAUGUUUCUCAAUAAGUUGCCAAUCAAUUUAAAGGUAUUAUUGUUCUAAAAACUCAAUAUGAUUGAACUAAAGGUACUAUAUAUUAGCAUAUUAUUAGAACUAUUUCAUUCAUGAAGAACAUGUAAUAAUCCCACUUUUCAUAAUUGUGAUAUUUAAAGGGUAAAUUAUAUUUCACCACAUGUAUGUAUAAUGAAUUACAUCCACAAGAAUUACGUUGAAUAAUGAAAAAAAUAUUUUUUUGGGGAUUAAAAUCACUUUAUUUAUUACGUGUAUGAUUGUUCUCUAUAAUUUCGAAUUUGUCAGAAACAUAACAAUUCAUUAAAAAAAAAUUAGAUUUUCCACUAAAUUCUAACUACUUUGUAAUUUCUAUUUUUUUUUUAUUUACUCAUUUUUUGUUGUUGUUCCAUGAAAACAUCUUGAGUUUGAAACUAAUAUCGAAUUAAAAAAUAGUUUGAUUAUGGUAGUUUUUUUGUUUUAAUUGUUGUCUCUAAGAUACACCCGAUGAAAUUCAUUGAGUGUGAAUAUUUGUUUUUUUAACAGUGGAUGAGCUUUUCAAGAUCGUUGCUCGACGAAAAAUUUUACCCUCUUAUUAAUUAGUGUUGCUCAUGUUGAAGCCACCAAUGUAUCUGCUGCCGAUGAGUAUGGAUAUUUUUUUUCUUUAUCAAGUGAUUUUAGUUUUCUUUUUAUCGAGUGAUGAUUGAGAAAUGUUCAAUUAUUGCUCUCGUUUAGUAAAACAAAAAUUUUCAGUAUUCUAUGCAAGCAAGUUACACUUGGCUCAAAAAACGUGAAGGGCAAAAUAGUGGUGUGUUUAAGGGGGGAAAUGCGAGAGUGACGAAAGGGCAGGUGUGGAGCAAUGGCAAUCCCCAUGGACUGAAUGUAAUGUCAUGUCCAUAGCAAGAACAAGAGACGCUUAUUCUAAUUUUUAUUUAAGACCAAACAUCUUUAGAUGGUACAUUUUUUUACCUUUUACUAUCGAUGUAAUUUAAAUUUAAACUAUUCUAAUUUUGAAACCUCAAUUUUAUAAUUUAAAUUAAUUUAUAUUUUGCAAUAAUUUUGUUUUAGUCCCGUGCAUCGCACGAGUUACAUUGCUAGUAAUAAUCUUAUAGAUAAAAGAAAGAAACGCUAGGGCAACCUAAAAAACCCUAAUGGCAUAUUUGUAAAAACAAAUUAAUUUAUGCGUGUAUAUAUGUUUUUUUUAUCUCUUAUUUUGCCGCCAUUUUUUUUAACUACUUUAACACCAAAUCUCGGCUAGCACAAUCAUAAUCCACUACAUUUAUAAUUUUUAUUAUUAUUAUUAUUAUUAUUAUUAUUAUUAUUAUUAUUAUUAUUAUUAUUAUUAUUAUUAUUAUUAUUAUUAUUAUUAUUAUUAUUAUUAUUAUUAUUAUUAUUAUUAUUAUUAUUAUUAUUAUUAUUAUUAUUAUUAUUAUUAUUAUUAUUAUUAUUAUUAUUAUUAUUAUUAUUAUUAUUAUUAUUAUUUUUAUUUUUAUUUUUUUAUUAUUAUUAUUAUUUUUAUUAUUAUUAUUAUUAUUAUUAUUAUUAUUAUUAUUAUUAUUAUAUUUAUUAUUAUUAUUAUUAUUAUUAUUAUUAUUAUUAUUAUUAUUAUUAUUAUUAUUAUUAUUAUUAUUAUUAUUAUNNNNNNNNNNNNNNNNNNNNNNNNNNNNNNNNNNNNNNNNNNNNNNNNNNNNNNNNNNNNNNNNNNNNNNNNNNNNNNNNNNNNNNNNNNNNNNNNNNNNNNNNNNNNNNNNNNNNNNNNNNNNNNNNNNNNNNNNNNNNNNNNNNNNNNNNNNNNNNNNNNNNNNNNNNNNNNNNNNNNNNNNNNNNNNNNNNNNNNNNNNNNNNNNNNNNNNNNNNNNNNNNNNNNNNNNNNNNNNNNNNNNNNNNNNNNNNNNNNNNNNNNNNNNNNNNNNNNNNNNNNNNNNNNNNNNNNNNNNNNNNNNNNNNNNNNNNNNNNNNNNNNNNNNNNNNNNNNNNNNNNNNNNNNNNNNNNNNNNNNNNNNNNNNNNNNNNNNNNNNNNNNNNNNNNNNNNNNNNNNNNNNNNNNNNNNNNNNNNNNNNNNNNNNNNNNNNNNNNNNNNNNNNNNNNNNNNNNNNNNNNNNNNNNNNNNNNNNNNNNNNNNNNNNNNNNNNNNNNNNNNNNNNNNNNNNNNNNNNNNNNNNNNNNNNNNNNNNNNNNNNNNNNNNNNNNNNNNNNNNNNNNNNNNNNNNNNNNNNNNNNNNNNNNNNNNNNNNNNNNNNNNNNNNNNNNNNNNNNNNNNNNNNNUGUAUUAACUAAUCAUUAUUUCAUUUGAAAUGUUAUCCCGUGCAUCGCACGGGGGAAAAAUGCUAGUAAAACUAAAUGACAUAAAAUACACCUUAAUUGCGGUUUGAAAAGGGUAAAAAUUAUAUAAACUAAUUAUUUGACUUUAUCUUCCUACCUUUAAAUGCAUGAAUGUUUUUUGUUUCUUAACUUUUUAUUGAUACCUAUUCUACCCUUAUUAGUAAUCAUUAUAUAUGUAUGUAUUACUUAUAAUUAUUUAAGUAAAAAUAUUAUUUAUAUUGCAAUCAAUAUUACAUAAAAUUAAAAUAUUGGCACCUUACUUCUCUCUCUCUCUCUCUUUCUUUGUUUUUUUCUUUUUUCUUUUUUUUUAUUCUUUUAUUUAACACAUAGACAAAAUAUAAAAGGUCAAGAACUUUUUAUUUCAUUCAUUGGAGAAAUCAAAUUCGACUAGGAUCUAUGAAUCAUUAGAAAAUAUUUAUUUUUAAUUAUCCGUAAAAUAUUUUUAGUGUCUUGAUUUAGUUUCAUAAUUUACAUCUCAAACCUCUAGAAUGUUUUUAUUUAUUAUUGUUGUAACUGAUAUAAAUUUAUAGCUUUUCUUUUAUCGAAAUGUGUAAAUUAAAUAAACAUCUUUAAUAAUAAAGAAAUUACAUGAAACUUUUAUAACCCGUAAAAUGAAACUACAUUUGAUUUAAUAUGUCUUCGUAAUAUUUAUAUAUGAAAAAAAUAUGAUAAGAUCGAUGAUCCUUUCAUAAACGAUAUGUCUAGUUUGAAUAUUUAGCUUAUAUCUUAUAUGUUUGGGGUUUAUUGCAUUUAUCACCCAUGUGUUUACUCUACUUAUUAAAAAAUUCCCCAUAUUAUAAAUAUUAUCAAAAAAAAACCUCUGUAAUUCAAUUUUAUAAGCAAUCUACCCCUUAAAACAUACUAUUAAGGAGGUUGUGUGCUAAAAAAUGCAUAAAAUAGUUUUAAUUUCUAUAUUUAUAACACAUGAAGAAGUUUUUCCCAAUUUGGUAUAACAGAGGGUUACUAAAUGCAAUAUAAAGUCUUCAAUACGCUUUGUUAGCUGGCAUGACUUGCGGUUGUUGGUUGAUUAUUUAAAACUAUUAGAUCUUUUUUGCUAAGCGUGCUCCCAAGAUGAAAGUUCUUUUUCUAACUAAAUUAGAUCCUGAAAUGACAGCUCAAGUGAGCAUUAUAAGUUUUGUUCACUCUCUCUUUUAACAUAUAAUUUUUUAGUCAUAUAAUUAGCGUACUCAACAAGCGGAUAAGUCGUAAAUUUUUCAUGGAUAAUUUUUUUAUUUUCAUGUGUAAAGGUUAUUGUUUGGUAAUUCCGUGCUUAGACAAUUUUAAUUUCUUUACCUAACAUAAACCCAUUUUAAUGUUGAUAAAUAAUUUUUAAAAUAUUAAUUUUGUUACAGUAAAUAUUAUUCUGUUGGUCAAGGACCUUCCAAAAAGACAAGUCCCAUAAUUUGAACAUUGUUUGUAAAUUAAUAUAAACUAAUUAAAAAAAAUUUAGAUAAUUGACGUAUAUGAAAAGUAUCGAAGUUUAAUUACAUGGAACAUCAAUAUAGUGAUUAAACUGUUAUCCAAAUUCUUGAAAUGUGAAGUGUGAACCACAUUUGGGGGUGAAAAUCAAACGGAACAGGUCGAAAAUGGUUUUUUCGAAAAUUCCACUUCUUUUCAGAAUUCAAAAAUUCAUUCUGAUUUCUAAAUGCCUCGGAAUACCCAGAAUUUCGGAAGUUUCAGAAGUUGCAUUAAUUUAUAAUAUCUUGAUCCAAAUUCGGAUGUAAUGAGAAUUUUCACAAUGUUUUCACUCUUUUUCGGAAUUUUAUAGCGAAAUGCACAAACAUCCAAAAAAAUUCAACAAAUCGCAACAAAUAAAACCACAUGUAGAAAAAACAAUAUGCAACACAGAGUUUCUGAUAUAAGAAAAAAUGCAACAUAUAGUUCUGAUACCAAUUAUUUUUUUAUAGUUUGAAGUUUUAUUUGGCCCGUAUUCAUAUUUUUCAUAAAAAAAUAACAUACAUUAAGUUAUGAAAUUACAAAAAUAUAUCAUAAAAUUCUAUUAUAUGUUUCGAAAAACAAUCAAAAUACCCGUAACUAAAAUCAGAUCGAAAUUGAAAUUUUCGAUAAUUUUAUAUACAACUCCAAUUUCGUGCAAAAAAAAAUAGAAAUCGGAAUUGAAAAUACAGUUCUAAAUAGGGAUAGUUUCGGAUCGGAAUCAGCGGAAUUCCAAAGUCCAUUCUGAUUUCCACCUCUAACCAUAUUGCAUUUUUUACUUUUGUUUUUCCUUUUUUUUAUUUUAUGAGACAUAUGUUGUUGAUAUUUUUAUGUUCGUAUGUCUGAUGAUUUUAUAAGUUAUUAAAAUAUUUUAUUGAUAUGAUAUAUGUUUAAUGAUGUUAAUUAUACAUGUAUUAAGAUUGUCCAUACUUAGGGGUGGAAAUCGACGGAAUCGAUCGGAAAUGUUUUGUUCGGAAAAUUUAAAAAUUUAUUCGGAAGUACAAAAAUGGGUUCCAAUUUUCAUUCCAAAAAAAUACGAAUGCAAAAAUUCAUUCCAAUUUCAGAACGCCUCGGAAUCGGAAGAAUUUUAGAAAUUUCAGAAAUUACUUCAGUUUAUAAACUCUUGUUCCAAAUUCUGAUAUAAUUGAAAUUUUCACAAUAUUUUUCUAUUAUUUUUUAAAUUUUGCAGGAAAAUGCAAGAAAAUCUAAAAGAUAGUUAGAAAAACACAAUAAAUAAAAUCACACGAAGGAACAACAAAUUGAAAGAUAGAUUUUCGGAUAAAGAAAAAUGUAACAUAAAGUUUCUGAUGCCAAUUAAUUUUUUCUAAGGUUCCCAUUUUUUUGGAUCGAAAUUGGCGGAAUUCGGGAAUUCCAUUAUGAUUUUCCCCUACCCAUAAUAGCAUAUCAUCAAAUCAAGUUAAUUAACUGAUGAAUCUUUAAUGUAUAAAUUAAAUACUAAAAUAAUUAGCAUGGAUCACCCAAUUAAUUUACUAAACUUAAUAUUAUCCUUUUAUCUAUUCUUUUAAUUUAUAAUCAAAUUUAUUUUUUAUUUGAAACAUAUAGUAAUGUGCAUUUUGGUAGAAUGUUAUACAUAAUAUACAAAAUAAUAAAUUUUGAGUUAAUUAAGGAUAAUUUAAUAAUAUAUUAAACUGGAUUAUUUUAUAUUAAAUUAAUCAUAUAUAAUUUAAUUAUUUAUAAAGCAAUUAAUAAUGUGCAAUUUUAAUCAAUUAAAUCUUAAAUGUGUAAAGGGUGGUGAUAAAUGCAGGAUGUCUUUUAGUAAAUGUAGGACAUUUUAUUUAAAAAAUCAAAAGCUAAUAUAUAUCUCAUCUUAUUUUGUUAAAUCCCUUUCUUUUAUAAGUUUUUAACGACAUUAUUUUGGCAGAAUAUCACAUGAAGAGUUUUAGUAAACGUAGACACUUUAUUUAAAAAUUCGAAACCUAAUAUAUCUCAUCUUAUUCUUUCAAACUAUUUUUUAUAAGUAUCCAUCGACAUUAUUUUGGAAGAAUAUCAUACAAUUAAUCACCAUUAAUCACAAGAACGUGAAUUUAUUGGUUUUGGAGGAUGAUACGGCUGAAAGUGAGGUAAAAAAAUCAUUUCGGUGCGAAAAAAAAUUCUUGUUUUAUGUGCCACAGUUCUUUUUUUUUUUCUUUUCUGUUUUAUGUGCCAGAUUUUAUAAUAUAUAUUAAUUUUGUUGCUAAUUUGGACCAGGAUCAUCUCGAGACGUUUAAAAAUGUCGAUUAUAGAGAAUAUUUUCCAUAAGACAAAAUAUUUUGUAGUAUAAACGAUUUUAAAAAGUUUCUUUAGAUGUGUUUGAGAUUGAAAAUUGUAGAGAAUAAAUAUAGUUCUGUAGAUAGUUAAUGAUAAAUAUUCGAUGAGAAUUAAUUUUUAUAUUAAAAUGUCUGUAGCUACUAAAAUAGGAAUAAAAAAAUAUCCUACAUUUACUAAAAGUCGUCAUGUAUUCAUCAUUUCCGUGGUGUAAAUCAUUAACUAAAAUAUUGGUAAUCAUAUUAGAAAUCAUUUACUAACUAGUAUCAAAUAAAACUACCAACUAAUAAGUUUUACUAAAAAAAACAUAGAAAAAGCUUGUAACAAUCUGAUCACUGUGUAAGUAAGUGAGGUGCUGCAACAAAUUAACAAACCUUAAAAAUAAAACCAACAACAAGAAAAAAUUAUGUCGAAGACCUCUCUGAUUUAGCUGUGGCUCACAAAUUUGUGGUUGUCGUUUAAUAUUGUAAGUUGACAGAAAAAUUAUCUUUAAAACAAAAAUAAAAUAAAAUAGUGAAAAGGGUCAUCAUCUUCCUAUGAAGGGCUGUGUUGGGUUUUGCAGUAUUAUUAACCUCAAAAACAAUUGUCGCCUCAAAUGAGAUAAGGUUACUGCCACGCGUCACUCUCUAAUAGAUUCAAGCGAUAAGGAAGCAAUCCAUCUAUUAUGUGGUCAUAAAAUCGAAAUGUAGAGGCAGGUCAGAUCCAACGGCCCACAUGAAUUAAAAAAAAACAAGUUUAAAUUAGGAGCGUUGGAUGAAAUGUGGAAAGAAGAAACAGGGUAGGGGGUGGGUUUGGCAUUAUAAAGGGUGAGGUGCAACAAAUCAUUUCUCCAUCGACUGUUGUUUGUGUAUUCUAAAGCAAAGAAAAAGCAAACUAAAGAGAGGAGAAAUGGCAGCCUCAAUGGUAUCAACCACAGCCACCGCCGCCGUGAGCCGCGCCACCGCAGCUCAAGCGAGCAUGGUUGCUCCUUUCACCGGAUUGAAGUCCACCUCCGCAUUCCCCGCUACCCGCAAGACUGCUGACAUCACCACCAUUGCCACCAACGGUGGAAGAGUGUCCUGCAUGAAGGUACCACAUUUUAUUCAUUUCAAUUGAAUUAUUUAUAAUCUAUAGUUAACUAAUUAAUUAAAUGGAUAUAUGUUUGAAAUUGAAUGAUUAGGUGUGGCCAACAGUGAACAACAAGAAGUACGAGACACUGUCAUACCUACCUCCUCUAACCAGAGAGCAACUCAUCAAGGAAGUUGAUUACCUUCUCCGCAACAAGCUCAUUCCUUGCAUCGAGUUCGAGUUGGAGGUAUUAUUUCUCAAUCUAUAUAUAUAUAUAUAUAUAUAUAUAUAUAUAUAUAUAUAUAUAUAUAUAUAUAUAUAUGUUUUCUUAAUUUUAAAAUUAAAAAUGAAUAAAUAAAAAUGAAAAAUAUAAAAAAAAAUGUAUGUAUAUGCAGCACGGAUUUGUGUUCCGUCAGUACAACAGCUCCCCAGGAUACUACGACGGUCGAUACUGGACAAUGUGGAAGUUGCCUAUGUUCGGGUGCACAGACGCAGUACAGGUAGUGAACGAGCUUGACGAGGCAAUCAAAGCAUACCCAGAGGGCUUCAUUAGAAUCAUUGGAUUCAACAAUCUCAAGCAAGUCCAGGAUAUCAGUUUCAUUGCCUACAAGCCUGCUGGCUACUAAUAAUUUCUAUUGUGUUUUCCUUUAAUUAGGAUUCCUUUUUUUUUUUGUAUUAUUACUUUCAUUUCCUUUUUCCUGCUUUUCCUAAUCUCUCUAUCUCUUUCGGAUCGAAAAGAUAAAUGAGUGUACGAGGAUAAGUAUUUACUACUCAAUAAACUAUAAUGCAUUUUCUUCCUUUUUAAUAAUUACUAUACUGUCAUCUCUUGAUCGCCUAAGUUAAGCGGGUAAGCCUCGGGAAAAUAUCUUAUUUAAUUUAUUAUUUAUCAGUGAAUAAAUUAUUUGGUUAUAGAUUAUCUUAAUGUAGGAGAAUUCAUGUAAUGAUUAAUGAAUAACUGGAGCUCAAAUGUAAUAGUUGAGAAUAUGGACGCGAGUGCAAUAGUUAGUUGGUAAUAGAAAUUAAUUAAUUAUUUACCGUCAAAUUAAAUAUAAUUAUAUUAUUUUUAGAAUUUGAGUUUAAUUUACUUAUUAGAAGUGCGAUGCAUAUUUUCUCAUUUGGUAUUUAUCGUAGCCCAAUCAAUUAUGUAACUUAUUGAGAAAAUAAAAUUCAACUAAUGGAAUAUAGGAGAAAGAGACUUAUUUCAGAGAAGGAAAAAAUGGCCGUAGUGUCUUGUGGAAGAAAUAACUUAUUUUCUUAGUUAUUUCCUUGUAAAACUCUUUGAUCAGCCCUAUAUAUACAAAACUUGGUUGGAGAGAGAAAGUUGAGAUCCUAACUCGCCUAGCAAAAAUCUUUUACACAUGUUUUUUAAGAAGAUAAUUUUUCUCCUUUUAUUUUCGCUCCCUAUUUCUCAAUUAUAGAUUUAUAAUUCUUCAAGGACAAGUCCACCCUUGUAGAAGAACUGUUAAUCCGAGAUAGACAAUUGAAGAUUGAAGAUUUUGAUAGAAGAUGAAUAUUCUUGAAUGCUCUACAACAACCUUGAUGUUUUGACAAUUGCUACUUUAUCAACCGUUCAAUCGUCACAAAAUUUGAACUUGAGGUUCCUAACAUGUAGCAAUUCGAUCCGAACCAAACGGAUAGUCAAUCCAAUUUUGGGAUAUCAAGUUAUAGGCGUCUAAAGUGUGUUGUAUUGUUCUAGACGGGAGCAAUUUGUGAGAAGCUUUGUUCGUGUUUCCUGCAAUUACUGAAUUCAAGAUGGUAUUUUUGGGUCGUUUCCGAAUAUAUUUUUAAGUUCUAGAUUAGUUUUUAUUUCGCAUUUAUUAAUCUAUAAUUUAUUACGCAAAACAUGCUAGGGAAAAAUUUAUACCCGAAAAACAAAGGUUCGUCAUUCGAAUUAAUUAUCAAUGAUGCGCUCUUGGAAUUUAUAUAUAUAUAUAUAUAUAUAUAUAUAUAUAUAUGAGUCAGCGUUGCAUUGAUCGAUUAGUGCUUCUACCGAUCGGUGUGUGGUGUAAAAUAAGGGUUUCACAUGUAGUCGCACUAAUCGAUUGUCGAUCUCCUGCUUGGUAUAUUUUGACCACUUCCUGCUUUCUUCAAGUAUCGCUCCGUUGCCCAUAUCCUUCCUCAUUUAGCCCUCAACGCCGUUUUAGCCAUUGUAUUGCCACACAAAUAUUUAAUAUAUGCAAAAUGCAUCAAUCUAACUCCUAAAUACAAUAAUAGCUAACAUGCAGCUAAACGACAUAUAAAUGAUUGUACUAAUGCUCGAUUCUUACCUUAAAUAGAUGUGAAUAAGUAUACAUUUUACACAUUUAACCCUUUAGUAUUUGGUGGUCAUCAUGGCUUCAGUUUUCAGGAGACGGUUGUGGAUACAGUCUUAAAAUUCGGACGGGGUGUGUCCGGGGUGGGUUUACUUAUUUUUGUUUUUGGUCUUAUAGUUAGGAAAUUAGAGGAUUUUGUGUAUAUUGAAUUAUACAAUUUUUGGUGUUGGAACUUAAUAUAGUAGCUACCCAGAUGUUAAUACGAUCAAUUCCACAUUUUAGAGAUGUUGAUCCAUUUCGAGAAAUAUAUUUCACUAAAUAACUAAUCCCUCCACUAAACGCAUUGGGCUCACUUACUCAAUAUAGAAAUAUAUCUCUUUGUUAUGAGAUCAAAGUGGAUUAGACUAGUUACAUGUGUACCUUUUUAUAUUUAGGGAUUAAGAGAGUAAGUGUUUUGGUGAUAAUAAGAAAUAAUAUAGUUUUAUAUUAUCAGUAGUGAAAUAAUUAUUUCACUUUGUCUGGUCCAAUACAUGCCGAAUGUGCUAGCACAAUAAGUCAAAAUAAUAACUAUAAAAAAUAUUCUAUAUCUAUCGUAAUCAAGACAGAUCACUUAAAUAUAUUAUUAAAUACAUUGUGCUACAAUCUUUCUCGAUGGUUAGUUCAAUUCCAUUUAGAUUGUGAAUAAUUUAAUUUAUAUUAUAAAACGAACUUUCAAAAUGAUCUUAUGUGUUAUAUCAAAAUCAGCACACCAAUUCGAAUAUGAUUAGAAUAUUAGACUCGUGUAAUUGUUUAAAUAUUAGUUAAAUGCAUUGAAUGCCAUAAUGCAUAUUCUCAUAAAAUGAUAUUAUACUAUUUCAUUAAAUUAAUACUAAAAUUAUGUAGAUAAAUGUGAGAGACUUUUAGUCUACUGUCCCAACAAAUAUACACUCGAGUUAGGACUUUAUUUCGGCGGAGACACUUUUGACACACAACAACCAACCUUGAGAGCGGUUAUAAACCCUAAAAAUGAAAAGAGCGAGGAACACUCAUCUAGAGCUUAGUGUGAAACGAAUAGGAACAGGCAACACAGAAUUUAAUCGUUGGCGGAAUGAAGACAACAUGACAAGGAGAAUGUUCGCCUUCUGUUAUUCAUAGAGUUUAUAUUUCUCUUCUUUUAAUUUAUUGAUUAUUGCAUCCAACAAAUAUUGUUUAUUGAUUUUGAUGGAACUAUACGUAGGUAGAUUUCAUUAUAGGAUUUAAUCGAAUCCCGUAGUGGAUAUUUUGUACUAUGUUUUAUUUUUAUGCAUGUGAUUUAAUUUUCAGUUUAAUUCUCGUGCUUGGAAUGUUUGAAUGCGUGGACUUGAUAACAUCACUGUCGCCAUUAGACACCAGGCCAUUAUUGAGAAUAUAUCACGCUCUUAAUUAUGUAAAUCAUCCUUCUGAAUUAGUUUUUUCUUUUAUAAACAAUACCUUAGAUCACGGUUCAUACUGUAUAUUUUAUGUUGAUCGACCGUGAUUGUAAUUACUUGAUUGAUUCUCAUUGAAUCAAUCCUCCUAUAUAUAUAUAUAUAUAUACUCACAUAUACAUCAAUGAAAAGUGAAAACUCCUAACUUGGGAUAUCCUUUUAUGGUAUCACAACCAUUAGCCUCACGACAUCUCUGAUCCAUAAUUAUCAUUUGUUUUUCUCCAUUUCUUCACUUAUAAUGUCGGACGAUCCCUCGAUCUCUCCCAACCAAACCACCGCCACCACGACUGUGAUGCGAUCUCUUGAGUAUCAUAAGAUUUCUUUACUAAACGUAAGAAAACUCUUGUUUAUUAUUUCUCUGCAUUAUCAAAACCCUAGCACAAUACGGCUAUUUAAAGAGAAUCAAAACCCUAGAAUCCUAAUCUAACUAGGAAAGAUAAUUACCUAUACUAAUAAAAUACUUAAUAAUUCCCUAAUCACUACUACUCACGCCAUAUAUUAAUCUAAAUAUACUAAUCUAAUCUAAUUAUCAAUAAACUACUAAUUAAAAUAAUACUUAAAUAAUAUAUUAAAUAAUAAAAUACUAACUAACGAAUAAAUAUACGAUAUAUUAAAUAUAUAUCGUAUCAAACCACCCCUCUUGAAAUGAACCUUGUCCUCAAGGUUCGAGUCAAUUUGGUCCCUCUUUUUUGCGUUUCCACCUAUGUUUGACUUCAGCGACUUUCUUUCCGAGAAAGAUGUAUUCCUUUGUUUGACCAAUUUUCACAAGCACGUGACUAUCUUUCUUGAUUUUAUGAGUGAAGUCAUCUCUCUCGGUGGAAUCAUGAACUUGGUCUCCAAAGUGAUCCACUUUAGCCAAACAAAAACUAGAUAACUUGGAGUGGUAUUUUUCUUCACAAUAAACAACUAAUUCCACCGAAUUCUCAUUAUGCAAAAUUGGAUCUUCCUUAAAAUUAUGAAAUUCUUUCAAAAUUUCAUGCAAUUUUUUGUUCUCCUCCUUCGUUAAUUUCUUGUCUUCGUCCCACUUUAUCUCAGUUGACUCCGAUUCUUCUUCUUUCGGCUCUUCGUCCCACUUUAUCUCAGUGGAUUCCGAUAAUUCUUCUUUCGGCUCGUCGUCCCACUUUAUCUCAGUUGAAUCCGAUUCUUCUUCUUUCGGCGAACUCACAAACAAUUGGGGUUCUUCGAAAAAUUCAUCGUCGUCCUCUUCCUCUUCCUCCGGCGAUAGGCUCGGCAGCGGCAGCGGCGGUAGUGGUGUUGUUGGUCGGCGGUGGCGGUCUCUUCGGCUCUUAUGUUGGCGCCGUCCUUGACUUUGUUCGAGCAGUUUUUGGAGACCAAUCCGUAUCUCCUCCACGGAUUUUUCCAAUCGCUCUAAACGUUUUCUCUCGGACGACAUAAUUUCGCAAAGUGUUGAUGUAAUCUCAACUUUGCUCCAGCGUAGCUUUGAUAUAAUCUCUGCCUUGCUAACGAAGCGUUGGUGUUAAUCGCAACUUCGCUCUGAUACCAAUUGAUGCGAUCUCUUGAGUAUCAUAAGAUUUCUUUACUAAACGUAAGAAAACUCUUGUUUAUUAUUUCUCUGCAUUAUCAAAACCCUAGCACAAUACGGCUAUUUAAAGAGAAUCAAAACCCUAGAAUCCUAAUCUAACUAGGAAAGAUAAUUACCUAUACUAAUAAAAUACUUAAUAAUUCCCUAAUCACUACUACUCACGCCAUAUAUUAAUCUAAAUAUACUAAUCUAAUCUAAUUAUCAAUAAACUACUAAUUAAAAUAAUACUUAAAUAAUAUAUUAAAUAAUAAAAUACUAACUAACGAAUAAAUAUACGAUAUAUUAAAUAUAUAUGGUUAAUUAAAAUUUGUUUUGAAUAAAGAAAAGAAAAAUAAAAUUAAUUUAGCUAGAACCAAAAUCCCAUUUUCAUUCUACUACUUUUGCCCUCGAUUUUGUCUCAAAUUUCUUAGUAGCUCGAUUAAAAUUUGUAGAAAAGGUCUGCUCGAGAGUCAUUCAACAUCUACGGAGGACAUUGAAAUUUAGUGGCCGAAGACAAUAGAGAAUUGAAAAUUGUACAGUAAGCCCUCGUAUGAUAACUAGCAUUAUCAAAAAAGUUGUACAGUAAGCCUAACUCGUAUGAUAAUGAAGAACACCUGAAACAUUAUUGAACUAAUGUAUCUUUACCAAAAUCAAAUUUUUUUGACAGAAAGUAAAAUAAACUCAUGUGAGAUAUUGACAACUAUUUUGAAGAAAAUAAGAAACAACAGUUGUAACAAUAAAUUUAAAAUUAUGCAAUGAAUAAAAAACGAACUUCUUCAUGCAACCAUGAUGCAAAUAGAGUAUUCAUUUGAAUCAAAAUCCGUCAAAAUGUCAACUAAAUCUUGUACUGACGUAAAUAUUUUUAUUUUGUAGUAUUGCUCUUAAAGCCAUUACGAAGGGAUAUGAAUGUGACUAAUGCAGCAUCCCGGCGAUCGAUGAUAAAUGAAUAUUGUCAUUUUGACACGAUAAGUUCCUGACAACACAUACUGUUCAAAUCAAUCAAUAAAUAAAUAAAAUAAUGUUGAAAAAUCAAAAGUAAGCAUAUUUCUCUAGUACUUUGGUGAUUUGAAUGCAACUUCUCAUCUUGCCACAUUCUUAAACAAAGUUUUGCCAUCUUUGUGUGUGCGUUUUUUCCCCACACGUGGGGGAGAUGGAGAUGCCAGCGGUUUAUCUAGUUGGAUUGUGCAGAGUUAGUUUUUGCUGAGGAAAACAAGCCAAGAGGGGGAAAAUGAGGAAAAAAAAAAAAAAAAAAAAAAAGGAAAAAUAGUCAUAAAAAAAGCAUAGAAAGCUAAAAAUAAUCAUAAUUCGUAUAAAUGAAUGUGCUAAAAACACUAAUUAAGGAAUGCAAAACAACCCAAGGGAAAAUGGACCCUCAAAGUCAUCCACCACAUUGAAAUUGAAAUAAAUCGACCAGGAAAAAACUUAUAUAUCGUACAUUUCUUAAAUAAAACAGUAAACUAGCUCGAAAAUGUCGACAUGAGGGGGAUGAGAGAACGAAGAAUAAAAGGAGAAUAUAUUGGCGAUGGAUGGAGUAGUUUCUUCCAUCUAAAAUGAUCGUGAUGUUAUCGUGUGAACUAAGAAGUUGUGUAUUAGUUAAUAUACCAUAGUAAAAACUAAAAAGCCGCCCGGGAAAAGCAAAGAGCUACGAAAUUACUGAGAAACACCUAGGGCUACGAAAAUUGUUCAGAAAAGAAAAAUUAGAAAUAACCGACUUGAGUAGUGGGGUCAGAUAUGAGAAUAUUCUUGUAGUGGGAGGUAAUAUUAAAAAUAAAACUGAAAAUAUGAAAUGAAAAUAUUGCCCCUAGGGCUACAUCUAGGGUUAUAGGUCAAAAUAUCCUCCUUUUAUAAACAAACAUUGUCUUAUUAUCAUUUUAAUUUCUUUUAAGGGUAAAUUACAACCACCCCUGGAUGUGUGGUCAAAUUACGAAAAUCCCCUCCCCUUUGGGUAAUUACAACCUCCUCAAUUAUAAAUCUUCUUACACGUCCACCCUUGCGGUGUCAAAUUUAGUGGAAUCUUUUAGAUUAUACAAAAUAUUCUCAAUUUUGUACCCAUUUUAUUCCAUUCGAACUCCACAUUUUGAAGCAAGAUGAUCAUAAGAUGUGCUUUUUGGCUUGUAAAUAUUAGAUUAUGGUGCAUCACAGAUUGCAUUUUUGUACAAAUGAGUACAAACUAGAGAACAUUCCACGAAAUCUUGAAGAUUAUGUUGAACUUGACACCAUAAGGGUGGACGUGUAAGAACAUUUAUAGUUGAGGGGUAGUUGUAAUAAUCCAAACAUGAGAGGUUUUUCGUAAUUUAAUCAUUCCACGAAAUCUAGAAGACUAUGUUGAAUUUGACACCAAACAUGAGGGAUUUUUCAUUUUUGGACGUGUAAGAACAUUUAUAGUUGAGGGGUAGUUGUAAUAAUCCAAACAUGAGGGAUUUUUCAUAAUUUGACCAUAGUGAGAAGUUGUAAUUUACCCUUGUUUAUAAUUACUAUGGAGGGAUAAUUGUGUGCAAACUGCAAUGUUUUGACCAAAUACUUGUAUUUAAAUGAAUUAAAUUAUUGAGCAAGAUACUUGAUUAUAAUGAGUAAAAAUGCAUAAAAAAGUAUGAACGUAUAGAGACUAUAUAGAUCCCCUAAGUUGAAGGAAAAUGGACAGGCUAUUGACCUCUCAUAGAACCCCAACGGCAUACGGAAGAUCAGCCAUCCAUCCAUCAAAAUGUUAAAAAACACACACACACACACACACAUACUUCAACACUGGAUAUGGAUUCCAGAUUCGCUGGAAAAAGGAAAAAAAAGGAAAAUGUCAAAACAAAGCUUUUAUUUUUUAAUAUCCCCAUGUUGAAUACAAGAACGUGCGUAGGUUUACGCCUUUUCAAUUUCUUGCAACGUCACGUUGUGUUGUGUUGUGUUGACACUUUCCAAAUAAUUUAAUUCCUAAAAAUUAAAUUGAUUGACAAAGUCUUUGCGUUUCCUUCUCUGUUAAUCUACUGUUAACUUGUUUAUCUGGGUUGUCCUUCAUUUUUCGAAAUUGCAUGAAAUUGAAACUUCGCCUCUUUUUUUUGUUGAGUGUGAUUGUUGUGCAUGGGCGAUUCCGUUUUCCCCAAUUUAUUACAUUUGCUUUCAUUUUAUUUUGAGGUUGUCACAAUUUCUUGCAGGCUACACGGAAUUUUGUUAUGUUGAUUAAGCACUAAUUCUUUCUUUAACUGCAGAUUCCUUUUGCUGAACAACUGAACAAGGAUUGAUUUGUUUCUAUACACAUUUCAAUUCACUUAAUGAUUGAAUAUCAGGUUUGUGAAUAUUUCAUAUAAUUAUUUUUAUUUUAUUUUUUUGUGAUUUAUUUAUUUGUUGAUCUGGUUUUCUAGACAGGGGGAAAAAAAAAAGAAAAACAAAUUGAUAUUGUAAAACCGGGGGCAAGAAUUUCUAUUACGGAAUGGUGAAAUUUGUAUUUGGUCUGUGAAUUAGUUAUAUUUUAUUUAAUUUAUCCUACAAAUGGAACAGAACAUAAUUAGAGAAAAUUUCCCUAAUGUAGCUAAUUCAAAUGGCUUAACAUGGUUUUUUAAGGAUUUGAAAUAUGCUACAAGAGUAUCUGUUUUUUAUUCGGAUCGUACCACUUUCCGUCACAAUUAAUUAAUCUUUUUAGUUCAAAUCAGAGUAUCUGUUAUUCCUAAUAUGUCUCCGAUACGCAAUUCAGCAUAGAGAAUCGGGGAAGAUUGGGCCAUUUUUUAUUUCUUCCAUUGUUUUAAAAAUUGAGAUUGUUAUCGUACGGACAGGUUUUCUCCUUUUCCAAUCGAGCCCUGCCGUUGUAAUGUUAUAGUAACAUGUCAUCGAGUUGAAUAAAUGCUACCGUUGUCAUAUUUAUUUAUUAUAUAUUUGGAUGUUUAAACUGAUAUUAAUAAUAAUAAGAUGAACGCUGCAGCAUUUCAGUGUGGACUAUCAGAAUAUAGUGACGUCAUGGAUCCACAAGUAAAAGAUUAUUAUAGAUUUCGCAGCUCAAGUGUUUCGUCUACCAACAGUGAUGUGUUUGAACCCACUUCAAGUAACAAUGGUACAAAUAUUAUUUUACUCUUGCGAUCAUUUACCUAAUCUGAAUAUAUUCACUUCGAGUUUUUUGUUUUGUGUGUACAGCUAAGCAGCGAGCAUCUGCAGUAGAAUGGUUAAAUGGUAUUCUGCCUGAUUUAAGUUUGCCAAUAAAUGCUUCAGACGAAGAAUUACGAGCAUUCUUGGUUGAUGGAUCUGUUUUAUGUCGAUUACUAAACAAACUAAAACCUGCUUCCGUGCCUGAGGUACCUCCUAGUUUAUUAUUAUUAUUUUUAAUUAUUAUUAUUAUUAAUUUUAAUUAUUAUUUAUAAAUGUUAGUGUGGUGGUGGUUCUAUUCGUUCUUCACAAACGCGGCAAGAAAACGUACAGAGGUUUUUGUUAGCAAUGGAUGAAAUGGGGUUACCGAGGUUUCAGGCGGCAGAGUUGGAAAAGGUGAUUGAUUACACUUUAAUGGAAUGGAGAUGAUAAAUAUUUUUUUUUUCUCGUGGUGAAAUUAAUUAAUUGAUUGAUUUAGUCGCAAUUUUGUUGUAGGGAUCGAUGAAAAUAGUGUUGGACUGCCUAUUAACAUUACAGACGCAAUUUACACUGAAUGCCGAGAGACAUAAUAGUAAUGGAACUGAUUUGAGUUCAAGACGGUUUCUCUCUUCCCCACCUUUUGGAGAAGACAGACGAAAGUUUGCUCCAGAGUCUAAAUUUCAGCGUGCUUUACGUAGUCCUAUUAAGACAGGUCUUUUUUUUUUUUCUCUUGUCUCCAAAUCAGUGUGUAAGAAGUUAUAUAUAUAUAUAACUAAAUUGAUUGUUUAAAUUGGAAUGUUGUAGAGCCAUCAGCUGCGCUUAUAAAUCACGUUGGUCAUAAGUUUCAUGAAGUCUUUCAGUUUAAACAAGUAUCUUAUACGGAUGCAAAUAUUUCAGAAAUGAUGAAAUCCAACAGCUUUGAUGUAAGUGAUUUCCUAAAUUAUUUAAUUUUUUUUUCCCGCCAAGUGUUCCUAAAAUUGACUUUAAAAGUUUUGUAUGUAUAAAUAUGUAUAUGUGAUGCAGAAUUCUCCAACGCAGUCGCUAUUAAGUGUGAUCAAUGGUAUUUUAGAUGAAAGCAUUGAGCAGAAGAAUGGAGAAAUACCUCAUGUAUGUAUUAAGAGAUUAAAAAGAUUUUUUUUUUAUUAGAAUCCAAAAACUUUUAAAGGUCUAACAAACAGAUUAUUGGCUUUGUAAUUGUUCAGCGUGUAGCUUGCCUAUUGAGAAAAGUUGUGCAGGAGAUUGAACGUCGAAUAUGUACUCAAGCAGAGCAUCUUCGAACGGUAAUGUAUUUUAUCAUGUGGGGUCCGGUUGUUUAAUGAUUAUUAUAUUCAUUAGCCCGAAACAUGCGCUCAUUCUUCUUCUUCUUUUUUUUUUUUAAUUUAUCCUGCAGCAAAAUAAUAUUUUUAAAGCUCGGGAGGAGAAGUACCAAUCUAGAAUUAGAGUUCUUGAAGCCCUUGCAACAGGGACUAGUGACGAGACACAGGUAUAAUAGUAAGGCUUCGUAUUUCGCCAUAAUGUAUGUAUUCAAAUUUAUGUAAGUACAUGUUUAUAUAAAUUGCAUAACCAAUUCGCCAAAAUUGAUUUUUUUUGUUUUUUUGGCAGAUUGUUAUGAACCAGCUCCAACAGAUCAAGGUAAUUCAAUUUCUUCACUGUAUGACUGUUAUCUUCAAGUUCAUAUGAUUUAGCUGCUUAUAGACGACGAGCAUCAAAUUAAGGAAGGAAAAAAUUGUUGAAUGUAAUCAAGAUUCGUAAUUCGUGUGCAAAAACAUUACCUGUUAUUACAAUAAGAAUUGAAUACAAGCAUGUAAUUCUGGUGAUAGUGAAUUUUAUUUACAUGUAGUUUUGGGUUUUGCAUGCUUAAAUAUUGUAUUCAUCUGCUCCAAAAAAUGCAGAAUGAGAAAAACAAAAUAGAAGAGAAAAAGAAAGCGGAGGAACAAGAAAUGGCAAGACUGAUGAAAGAGAAAGACGACCUUAAUCAAGAGAUAUCAAAUCUUAAGCAACAGCUCCAAGAUAUAGCUAAGACAUCCCAAGCUGAAUCUCAAGCUCAAGCUCAAGCUCAAGCUCAAGCUCAACAACUACAGCUCAACGAUACAUCUAAAGAGUCUCAAAGUUUACUAACCGAGGAGUCAACAAAUAGAGUUAAGGAACUUGAGGAUAGGUUAAAACUAACUCUAAGCUUACAAACAGAGUCCACAAAUAAAGUGAAGGAGCUCGAAGAUAGGUUAAAAGAGUCUGUCAUCUUGCAAACCGAGUCGGCAAAUAAAGUUAAGGAGCUUGAAGACAGGUUGAAAGAGGCUGAAAUCUUGCAAGCAGAGUCAACAAAUAAAGUGAAGGAGCUUAAAGAGAGGUUAAAAGAGAGGGCAAGCUUAGAAACAGAGUCGACAAAUCAAGUGAGGGAGCUUGAAGAUAAGUUAAACGAGACUGCAAGUUUGCUAACACAGUCAAGAAAUAGAGUUAUGGAGGUUGAGGCAUCCCUUGAAUCCAAAUCUGAAUGGUGGAAGAAGAAAGAAAAUAUCUACCAUAUAUUCACCGAAUUUCAGCUCGGUGCACUACGUGUAAUGCUUCUCUCUCUCUCUACCAUCUUACCUUUAUGUAUCACUUUUUUCUUGGAUUAAGUAAUUUCAUUCUUAUUUUCAUGUAUUUCAUUUCAGGAACUAAAAUUUUCAUCUCAGUCGAUACACCAAGAAAUUUUGAAAACGAAGAAAAGCUAUUCAGAAGAAUUCACUACUUUAGGUAAUUCUAUUUUCUUUUUUUUAAUCGGAUGAAAUAUAUAUUUAUACAUUGCGACUCACACUAAUCGUCGUAACAGGGUCAAGGAUCAAGACUCUAGACGAUGCAGCAAAGAACUAUUAUUCAGUCCUUGCUGAAAAUCGAAAGCUGCACAAUGAACUACAAGAGCUAAAAGGUGACACAUUAUUGUUGACAUAGUUGAACAUAAAAAAGAACACACACGCACACACACUAAAUUGGUGUAUUUCCUCACGUGUUGAUUUGAAUAGGAAAUAUUAGGGUGUAUUGCCGGAUAAGGCCAUUUCUCCCGGGGCAGAAAGGGAAAAGUUCGAUUAUUGAGUACGUUGGAGACAAUGGUGAGCUAAUAGUUUCGAAUCCAUCAAAACAAGGCAAAGAAGGACGCCGCUCCUUCAAAUUCGAUAAAGUGUACAGCCCAGCAGCAACACAAGGUUUAUUUUAUUUUAUAUCUUCAUUAAUAAAAAGACGGUACUAAUUAGUUUAUCUCUAUGUAUGUUAUUUCUUAUUGACAUAAAUUUCGUAUUAUCUGCAGCUGAAGUAUUUUCAGACACACAACCGUUAGUACAAUCUGUUUUGGAUGGAUACAACGUAUGUAUAUUUGCGUAUGGUCAGACUGGUUCAGGGAAGACCUACACCAUGGUAUGAAACUAACUAUAAAUAGGUUUAUAAUUUCAACUUAUAAUUAUUUAUUUUUUGUUAAGUGAAUGAAUUCUUUGUCUCUCCAGACUGGACCUGAUGGAGCAACGGAAGAAGAAUGGGGGGUUAAUUAUCGGGCUUUAAACAAUCUUUUCCGUAUUUCACAGAGUAGGGAGAGCAACUUUACAUAUGAAAUUUCCGUCCAGAUAGUGGAAAUAUAUAACGAACAAGUCCGUGAUUUGCUCGUAAAAAACGACGGUUCAGCAAAAAGAUAUCCUCUAUUUAAAAUUAUUAUGUUUCCAAUCUCAUAUUUUUUGACACUAAAUUUUGAUCCAUUAUUGGUUAUUACAUACAUGUUGCAUCAAAAAUACUUGUUAUCCUUGACUUGCACACACUCGGGAUUUUGUCAACGUCGCAACCCAAUGGUUUGGCAGUGCCAGAUGCUAGCAUUCAUGUGGUAAAAUCAACCUCAGCUGUUUUGGAACUUAUGGAUAUUGGACUGAAUAAUAGAGCCAAAAGUUCGACUGCCAUGAAUGAAAGAAGUAGUAGAUCACACAGGUAUUUCUAUAAUUAUUGUUUUUCAAGAUUCUUGUAUUAUUAUGCAAUCGAUGCAUAUAUAUAUAUAUAUAUAUAUAUAUAUAUAUAUAUAUAUAUAUAUAUAUAUAUAUAUAUAUAUAUAUAUAUAUAUAUAUAUAUAUAUAUAUAUAUAUAUAUAUAUAUAUAUAUAUAUAUAUAUAUAUAUAUAUAUAUAUAUAUAUAUAUAUAUAUAUAUAUAUAUAUAUAUAUAUAUAUAAUUAGUGGGGUAUGAAUAAAUACAGUAUUGUGUCAAUUCAUGCGCGGGGGCUGGAUCUAAAGAGUGGUUCUUCUCUACGAGGCAGUCUUCAUUUAGUAGAUCUUGCUGGAAGUGAAAGAAUUGACCGCUCGGAAGUAACUGGAGACAGACUUAAAGAGGCACAGCAUAUAAACAAAUCAUUAUCCGCACUUGGUGAUGUCAUCUUUGCUUUGGCACAAAAGAAUUCUCACGUUCCUUAUCGCAACAGCAAGCUCACUCAAGUCCUACAGGGCUCCUUAGGUAUGUAUAAUAGCUUUUUUUUUUUUUAAUAAUUCUUCUGAUAUAAGUUAGUUAAUUGAAUAUCGAAUAUUGGUAUUGCAAUGAGUAAUUGAAAAAAAGUGGUUAAUGAUCAGGUGGUCAGGCAAAGACACUUAUGUUUGUGCAGCUGAAUCCAGAUGCAACUUCGUUUAGUGAAACCUUAAGUACAUUGAAGUUUGCUGAAAGGGUAUCUGGUGUUGAGCUCGGCGCAGCUAAAAGCUCCAAAGAUGGCAAAGAUGUUCGUGAGUUGAUGGAACAGGUAACACAACAUUAUUACGAUUAUUAUUUUUCUGCUAUCUAACUUGCGAAUAAUAAUUUAACCAAAUUUAUGUUUCAUUUGACAUGUCCCUGAACUUUGUUAAGUGUAUCCAUUUAUUUGCUCACAAGUCUCUAUAUUAUCAUAAUUAUUUAUUAUACAAUAGACAAUAUAUAUGAUAUGAUACAUUUUUUGGGUAAUAAAUAGGUUUCAUCUCUAAGAGACACCAUAGCAAAGAAAGAUGAGGAGAUAGAGACACUGCAGCUUCUUAAAGAUCCCAAAAAUGGAACCAAUGCUGAGAAACGGGCUACCACCUCAUUGAGGUACGUAUCAUCUUCUACGGGUACUUGUUAACAAUUUCACAAAAAUAUAUAAUCACGAUUCUCAACAUCAGAAAAUAUCCAUAUUAAUUAUUUUUUUUUUGCGGUUGAAGCUGAGAUCUUAUGACUUAGGUGGUUGUGCAGAUAGAUAGUGCUGAGAAAUUUAGUGAUUUAUCUGAUAGUGUACUUUUAUCUUUGCAAAACAGAAACUGAUGGAGAGGCUCUUCCCUGAUUAAGAAAGACAAAUUGGGAACGUACACAAGUAAGCACAUUCGCCUUAUUUGCCCGCGCCUCAAAAAAUGCCUACUUGAUACAAACCACUUUUCUUUUCUUAUCUUACUAAAUCUUCACCGAGUACCAACUACUAAUAGUGUAUUUCUCUUGGUUUUCCACAGGCGUAGAGUUCCACGACCCUCAACUGGUAUGACCACACACAUAUUUAUAUAUAUAUAAUAACGAUACACAAUUGGUAAAUUAUGACGUUGAUGAGCAAUUCGGUUGUAUUCAGCUUUAGCUACUCGUGAUCUUGUUUCAGGUUUGAGAAAAUAUGCCAACCAAGGUGGCAAUAGUUGAGCAUAUAUAGUUUCAGUUAUUUCUUGAUUUUAUUCAUUCUUUAAUUUGCACUGUGAUUUUGAUCCAUCCAUUAUAUUUCCACUUUUCCCUCUUUUUUUCAUGUUCAUAAUCAUUGUAUAUAGGUUUCGUUUAACCCCCAUAGUAAGAACCACAACUACUUGUAACCUUUGGUUGUGUUGUGGUGUGGUGUUCCUUUGCAUUUACUGCAAUCCUGGAUGGAAGCUUGUAACUUCAUAACAAGGCCAAACUUGAGAAUGUUAUUUUCGAAACAAAUUACUGCACAACGCAAUUCUUUUAAUUACAUAUCAAUCCUCAAUCGUCCACUGGUCAGCAAAAAUUCUUAUUGAGGAGAUUCGCUAGUUUUUGUUCUUAUGGUCCGAAUGGAGCUUCAAAUUUUGUCCAAGAAAUACCAACUUCGCUGCUCAUCACCUUGCCAGUUGGGGCAAUUUUUUUCCAAAUGUAAAUUUAAUUCGUUCUUCUUGCUUUUGUGACGGGAAUUCCCGAUUUUAGAUUUUUUUUUUAUUACGUUUUCUUAAUACAAUUUUUACUUACAAAAAAAAAAGACAAGAAAUUAGAAAAAAAUUCAAAUAUGAUUUUGAACCAAUCAGCAUAAGGUGGUGGCUGGUCUAUUCUUGUGUUCUUUUUCAAUUAAUAAUUUGUGGCUCAUUUGUAAGAUAUAUUUCCAUUGGCUGGUCAUUUAAUGGAUACUAAAGUUUUGAAUAAACACUUGGUGGGGUAUGCUAAAAUUACAGGACCAAAUUAAUCCAAUAUGUAAACUGUUUAAGAAAUAUGGACCACUAUAAGUCAUAAAUUAAUUCUCAAAAGGAAAAAUAUUUUAAAAUAUUCGAAGAGCACCCACUAUUGACUAACUAUUUACCAACUAUUUACCAACUAUUUACUACUUUCUUACUAUUAUCUAACAUCUUAUUGCAUAUUCUAUAGCUUAAAAACAUGGGUAAAACCUUGUAAUGGAUCAUGUAUGUUUUCAUAUCAGUUAAUCUUUAACUUAUCAAUUUAUAACAAUAUUUACUUGAUCCAAAAACCAUGUUUGUGGCAGAUUGGUUGUAAUGAUCCACGUAGUCAUUUAGUUUAUUGUAAAAAAAAAAAGAUUAAUCUUGGUGAGUUAAGUAAUUAUUCAAACAUGGCAUGAAUGUUUUCCUUCCUACAACUCAAUGAUGUUAACUUCUUCUAAAGUUUGACAAUUUCUAUAUACAACAAUGGGGCUCUUCGACGUAACCCAUCAAAUAUUUUAUUAAUAGGAAAAUGCACAAAUAAUAAAUCACUCUUUGAGAUGAACUCAUACUCUUUUCAAGAAGAGAGGAGUGAGAGGUCGAGGUGGGAGAUGGAUCGGAAACAGAUAGGGACCAUGAAGUGGUUAUGGAGGGUGAUGGCGAAGCGGGUGGCACGCUUCAGGGCGUACCACUUGCUGCAGAGGAGGGCGGCGGGGUUGUGGCCGCGGACGUCCAGAACAUUGGCGAUUUAGUUUUUGUCGAGAAAUUUAGAUUAAACUGGACGCUGAUUGACUAUGUUGUUUGCAUAGUCUAUUAAUAAAUCAACUAUGUUUUUUUUAUAGUUAAUUUAUUAGAUCUAAUAUACGUUUUAAUAUUUUAAUCAACUACAAUCGAUUAAUAAAUCAAUAGUAGAUUAGCGUUCAGUUUAAUCCAAAUUUUACAAAAGAACAUAAGGUAAAUUAGAAAAUUGCGAAAAAGAAAUAUGAGAGAGUUUUUCCAAAUUAUUUUUUUAAUAGGGUUCUACCUCAUAUGAUUUUUUGAAAUGAAGGGGUUAUGCUAAUUUUUCCUUUUAAAGUAAUCAUAUCUAAGAUAUAUAUAUAUUAGAGAUAAAAUCAUACUUGCAAAAUUAAUGGCAUUGGAUGGGAUUAAUUAUUAAGAGAUGUGCUAUUUUCACCUUCAAAAUAUUUUAUCACACCACUAAAUUAGAUAUAUUUCCCAUUUUACCUCUUUCUUCUUCUCUCACACCAAUAUUUUUUACGAAAGUAUAAACCAUCUACCACUAAAAUAAUUAAAAUAUUUAUAUAAAAAAACCCCACAAUUUUCACUGAAAAUCUCACCCUCUCCACCUUAAAUGAAUAAUACUUUCGUAAAAGAAAAACAUUUUUGAAGGUCAAAAAGAGCAGGAAUUCACAUUUUUUGAUAAAUAAAUUAAGAUUGUUUGUAUGAAAGAUCUUGAACUUCCUCCAGAAUUGGCAUGUUUGGCUUAAUAUAAUUUUGUUUCCUAAUUUUUUUUUACAUAAUCUUGUAAUAAAUAUUUCUAUUGCAAAAAAAAAAAAAAAAAAAAAAUAGAAAUAACUAAUAACACAUGAAGAUUAAGUGAAUAUAAAGAAGGGUGGUAGAUUAUAAAUUUGAGAGGAAUUUAUGAUAUUUUAUAAUCUUUGGUGGUGAAUUGAGAUACUUUGGAUGUGAAAAAUAAGACCACUCAUUAUUUAUUUUAUGGAUUAUUUUAGAGACUCCCCUCAUAUGAAAAAUAUAUAUAACUAACCACCAAACUAAUUACAUCCUUGAUUCCUUGUGCAUACCCCUCCAUUUUGAAAUUAAUAUGACAGACCCCCAUUGCUCACCCUGAAGUACUAAUGUGCCCUUUUAAAAUCUGUUUUAAAGCCUAGCCACUCACAGUCGUCUAUCUCUUCCUCUCUCAAAUCUCAGAUUCAAAUCCCGCCUCUCUCCAACUGGCGAAGUUGCUUCUCGGAGUCAUAACUCUCUCUCACAUGGUCGGAAUUCGAUGGUUUAACUACCGUUGGAUUCCUCUCGUCGAGCACUUUCUUUUGGGGGUGAUUUCAUUCAGUUUGGAGCGCUGGAUCUGUUUCUGCAAUUUUUUUUUCAGUCGACGCAUAUUUCGACGACGGUAGGUCUUGCCGGAGGUGUAUUUUGUAUUCCGCUAGUCGGAAUUUGACGGGCUACCCACCGUUGGAUUCCUUUCACCGAGAUCUAUAUUUUGAUGGUAAUCUCAUUCAUUUUUAUAUUGUCAGAUUUAUUUCUAUAAUCUUUUUCAUUUGUGAGCGCGGAACCUUGGGUGGUUAGCGGCGGCUAGGGUUUUGGUAGGAGGCGAUUGGGGUGAGAAGUCAUUGGCGGUUUGGUUUAGAAUUCGUAGCUAUGGUCUCUCUCUCUCUCUCUCUCUCUCUCUCUCUCUCUCUCUCUCUCUCUCUCUCUCUCUCUCUCUCUCUCUCUCUCUCUCUCUCUCUCUGUGUGUUUAUUUUAGAGUGUUUUGAUGGUUCUUCAAUUUUUGUUAUUUGCACUAAAAUAAUUUUUUUUUUUUUGAUUUUACAAUUGCAUCUUAAUGAAAACCAUUCAUCCUCUACUUGAAGGUGUCAAAAUUUUUGUUGAAGUUAUAUCUGCUUCAAGUUACAAUAUUCAACAGAUUGUGUACAUUACCAUACAAUAAUAGUUACAUAUAGUAAAAUGUAGUUACAUAUGCAUAUAUUUGUCUAUUUUCGAUUUGUAUUUUAUUGGUUCUAAGGUGAUUUGUAAUAUAAAUAUUGAUAUUUGUAAUGGGGUUUAUGAAUUUCUUUUGUAUAAGCCAGUAUUCGUGUGUAUACAUAAUGAUCGAAUAAAAAUAUCGGGUUAAAAAAAAGAACAUAACUACGAAUUACUAUUGUUUAGUACAAUUACAUGUAGUUAUUUUCAGUACAAUAAACAUAUAUUUCAUAAAAAAAAUUAAUUCAGUUUUUUUUUAAAAAAAGUUAAAUAAAAAAAAUUAAAAAAAAAAUAAUAAAAAUAUAUAUAAAUUAAACAAACAGGUUUAUAUAAAAAAAUGAAAAAUAAUAAUAAUUAAAUCAGUGAAAAUGCUAAAUGUAUGACCAGAAAUGCUGAAUGCAGUUUUGGCAAAAAAUUGCAUAUAAUACUUUCUCCAUUGAAUAUGUCAAAGGAUAAUUUUAACUUGAAUUUAUCCCUAAUUUAUUUGGUAGCUAAGAAUGUGUAAAAUAACCCCUUAAUUUUAUUGAAUACUAUUUACAUACAAGGCUUAAUAGUGACAACUAAACGAGUUCUAAAUUUGAUGAGUACAUUUGAAACUAAUUUAUUUUAUAUAAUUGUUCCAAUCUGAUGUAAUUAUUUAUUCCUCCAAAAUUUAAUUAAUUAAAAAAAAAAUUCCACUUUUUUCCUUGUACUUUGGCUCGAUGUCACUUUAUCCUCUUCUAUUUUUGAUUGCAUCGAUUUGUCCCCCUGUACUUAAAAAUUAUUUCAAUGUGACCCUCGUUGUUAGUUGUCAGACAUUUGACCUUAGCACAGUUUGGUCUAAGCUCUGAAAUUAUAAAAAGACCACCCCUCCCAAUUUAAAUAAUUAUUAAAAAACGAAAAAGAAAAAAAAAACAAAAAAAGUAAUAAUAAAAAAUUCAAGACAACGAGAAAGCAUAGUCCAUGACGAUAUCCACAAUUUAUUUUUAAUUUACUUUUUUUAAUUUUUUAAACUAGGAGGAGUGAUUUUUUUGUAAUUUUUAGACUUAGAUCAAACGGUGUUAAUGUUAAAUGUCUAAAAACUAACGGCGAUAGCCACAUUGAAACAAUAUUUCAAGUACAUGGAGGGCAAAAAUCGAUUCAAUUAAAAGUAGAAGGAGUAAAGUGAUAUCGAGCCAAAGUACAAGGAUGAAAAGUUAAAUUUACCAAAAAAAAAGUAAUAAAAGAUAUAUAUUCAGAAUAUUAAGAGUGUAAUAAAAUAAAAUAAACAAGUAGAAGUAUCUCGAAGACCUCUGAUCCAAUUGUGGCUCACAAAUUUCAAAUUUGAGGUUGUCGUUUAGUAAUGUAAGUUGACAGAAAAAAUAUCUAAAAUAAAAUAGAAAUAAAAAUAGUCAUCAUCUUCCUAUGAAGAAAGGAAGGGCUGUGUUGGAUUUUGCAGUAUUAACCUCAAAAACAAUUGUCGCCUCAAAUGAGAUAAGGUUACUGCCACGCGUCACUCCCUCAUAGAUUCAAGCGAUAAGGAAGCAAUCCAUCUAUUAUGUGGUCAUAAAAUCGAAAUGUAGAGGCAGGUCAGAUCCAACGGCCCACAUGAAUUAAAAAUAAACAAGUUUCAAUAAGGAGCGUUGGAUGAAAUGUUGAAAGAAGAAACAGGGUAGGGGGUGGGUUUGGCAUUAUAAAGGGAGAGGUGCAACAAGGCAUUUCUCCAUCGACUGUUGUUUGUGUCUUCUAAAGCAAAGAAAAGCAAAUUAAAGAGAGGAGAAAUGGCAGCCUCAAUGGUAUCAACCACAGCCACCGCCGCCGUGAGCCGCGCCACCGCAGCUCAAGCGAGCAUGGUUGCUCCUUUCACCGGAUUGAAGUCCACCUCCGCAUUCCCCGCUACCCGCAAGACUGCUGACAUCACCACCAUUGCCACCAACGGUGGAAGAGUCUCCUGCAUGAAGGUACCACAUUUUAUUCAUUUCAUUAAUUUGAAUUCAAUUAUUAAUAAUGUAUAGUUAACUAAUUAAUUAAAUGGAUAUAUAAAUGUUUGAAAUUGAAUGAUUAGGUGUGGCCAACAGUGAACAACAAGAAGUACGAGACACUGUCAUACCUACCUCCUCUAACCAGAGAGCAACUCAUCAAGGAAGUUGAUUACCUUCUCCGCAACAAGCUCAUUCCUUGCAUUGAGUUCGAGUUGGAGGUAUUAUUUCUCGAUCUAUAUAUAUAUUUUCUUUAUUUUAAAAUUAAAAAUGAAUAAAUAAAAAUGAAAAAUAUAAAAAGUUGUAAAUAUAUGUGCAGCACG
rnacentral:lncRNA from 1 species